GCUGAUCAUACUUUGACCCAGAAGCCCAACGUUCCACCUAGGGAGGUGCAGUUUUGAUGGAGUGGAAGGACGAUAAUGUAAGGCAUGCAGAGCUGGGACACAGGGACUGUCUCUGAAAUUUAAGGCUGACUGUGAUUCUGAAUGCCAGUCCAAAAGGCAUUACUAAAAUGGAAAUUGUAGAAGUGAAAGAAAAUCUGUUCUCCUAAGGCUGAUGGAUAAGAGAUUCAAGUCAAAUUGCACGCUGGAUUAGACCUGAGGUGUUUUUAUAAAGCUCUGACAAAAUUGGUGCUUUUUUCAUCAGUAAGUAACGCUUAAAGAAAGCUUUUCUUCUUUCUCAUCUAUCUCCCUGCCUUUGCAUAUUUAAAGCUAAAAGGGGAAAAAAAUAGACUGCCAGAUGAAUUUCCCCAGAGUGUUUCACUGUAGCUUGUGAAAAGCAUUUUAGUUUGGCUGAUAAGAAUCUGUUUGUGUCAGUAAUCUCUUCUGAAGAAAUUUGGAAUUUUUCUGCCUACCAAUUGCAAAGUGACAACUUGCAUCACUGAAGAUGCAUGUUUGGUAAUCAGAAUCCUGCCCCUGUUUCUGCACCUUCCGUGCACACCCAGGACAUAGCUUCUCCACGCUUUAUUCUCCUUGCACAUGAAAUUAAUAUAGAAUAAAUACUCUUCUGAUAGUAUUGGGUUCUGAGAAAAGAAAAAAAUUUCAGAUGUUUUUAUUUCUUUAUAUGUCACCAAGAGACAAUGGGGCAAUUUCACAGAAUAAACAUGAACAGGGAUUUACAAGAGUUUCGGGGAAACACUAACCUAGUCGGUGAGAAGAGCUAUAGAAUCAGAGCAUUUAAUUGUGGGACUAUUUUUGUUGAUACCAUUAGCUACUUUAAUUUACUGCUUUAGCUGAUAUUUUCUAGUGCUACCUGUCAAAAUGUAAUAGUUAUUUUCAAGAAUCAGUUAACUCUCUGAAUAUUUUAAGGUAGAUACACGCAAGUGGUAACAUGGCCAAAUAAGAACAUGGGCCCUCCCAGCCUCGCCCACUAGCUCUGUAUGUACCUGGAUCUGCCAUAUUUGUAAAUUCUGGGCUGGCUAGCUGGGCUACUUUGUUAUUAGAAAGUAGUAGGGUGUGAAGAUAAAAAGCAUGGGUUUUGGAGCAGUGGCUUGAGUUUGGGUGCCAGCUUUGGUGCUUACCAGCUUUUUCCUUUCACCAAGUUCUCUAGCCUCCCAGGGACUAUUUUCUGAUUUAUAAAGUAGGGUGAAGACAAUUACACUUAUCUCACAACUGUGCAAGGAAGAAAUAAAAUCAUGCAUACAAGGUUGUCGGUAGAGUGCCAGGUAGGAAGCAAACAGUUACAAGGGCUCCAUGUUGGAGCCUCUUUCCUACACCAGAGGACAGGGGCACCAACCUCCUGUGGUUUGCAAAGUCACUUCCACUCAUCCUUGCUUUUUCAUCUUUCAGCUGUUCUGUCAUGGCCCAGUCAGUAAACCUCCCCUCUUGAGCUUUUCUCUGCUAUUUUGUCACAUAUCUAUUCCUUCCCAGAGGACAGAGGAUUGUGUGUUAUUUUUGUGAACAGAAAUGUUAGAGAGCAUGCCUUAGACUCUGGAAGAAUAUGGCACAGCAUUUAUAGAAUCAAUUUUACAGAAGUAUCAUACGACAGGGUUCCAAACAGAGAUGGAAAGUAAGAUCCAGAGAGGGAGAGCAACCUUCUCAAGAACACAGAACCUUCUUUUGCUGAAGCUUGAACAGGCGCCCUCUGUCUGGCAGUGGGAUCCCAUUCUACCUCUUGGGCUCCAUCCUUAGCUCCCUAUCUGCCUGACCUCCUCUGAGGAGUUCCACUGAGUUCUUCUCUGCUUUGUGGUUGAUUAGAGAAACUAGGCUCCAUCAGGGGCCUGGGUCCAUCCCAGGACCCUGACAAAAUUGUUUGAUGCCUACAGGCUAUGAAUGGUGCAAGAAACUAGAUGCACUGUAUGUUCAUGGUCCAAGUUCCAUAGCCACGUAGAUUCUGGGACACCGUCAGCCCUUGGCAAAUAUUUGGCUUGGCCUGCAGCUUGAUGCCAUGUUGGUACCACGUUAUGUUUGCCAGUGUCCUGAAUAAAGAAGGAUUCAGGACAGCUUCUGGGGUUGCCAAUAUUGGCUUAAGCUUUCCAUCCUGUGUUGAGUGAGCCCGGGUCUCAUAGCUCGCUUUUGAAUUAAAAUAGCCAAGUGAUUAAAUAUUCAUGCUUUGCUUAUUUCAGUAUAUUUAAUUUAUUAUGUAUCACUUUCCUUGGGUUUUAUAUAAACGUGCCUGAGGAUUUUUUUUUUUUCCAGUUUAAAUUCUGGCAGAAUGUUCCCUUUUCCUUGGCAGAGUGUUGAUUAGCAAAAGAAAAUCUGUUUAGCAAAGAAGAUGAUUUAUUUUUUUACAGACUGCUCUUGCAUUUUAAUAAAAUGAUAUUAUCAUUGUUAUCACCAUCAUUAAUUAGUCUUCCGUGAUCAUUAAAGCAGUGAAUUACAAGAGGUGCCAUUAAACAUCUGCUUCAUUUCUUUCCCAAGGCUGGAAACCAUGGGCCUUAGUUUUUCUGUACAUUUAGGAUGGCAAAAGUAAAGUGGAGAUUGUUACCUUCUUUUUAAUCUAUUUCUUCCACUGAUGAAGAGUGUCAUGUCUUCCUCUCCCUGUGUCUUUACUGAGUCCAUCUUCAUCACACUCUUUCUUGAGAUGGUCUUGAUUGGGAAACCAGAGGGCUGUUCUGCAGAGCUGUUGGCCACCCCUCUUUCCACAACUUCCUGCCUGGCUCAUGCUGUACAUCCUGACCGAAGGGCUGAGGCUCAGAUAGAUGUGCAGGAGGGUCCCCCACCCCCCAACACAUCUAAGACAAAGGGAUAGAUGAUGAUUGAUUAGAACUCAAGGGCUUCUAACUGCAGCUCUUGGGGACCUAUUUUUUCUCUUUAAAACAGUCACAAGGCCCUGCUGUACCCAAUUUCCAAAUAUAUGAAUAACAAUCCCUUGAUUAUCAAGUGCUAAUUAAAAAUGACAGGCUGUGUCCCCACCCCCACCCCCUACACAUCAUAAACUUGCACUCCCUCUUGCCACCACCCACAUGGCAUCUGCUAGAACCUAAAAAUGAGUUUCAGUAUUAGCCCAAGAAAAUCACACAACAAAGUUAGAAAUUUAAAUUAGCUGCCAAGGAAGAAAUCAUAUGCCAUUCCUCUGCUCAAUAACAUUAUAUAAGCAACAACAGAGAAAGAAACAAAGAAAAAAAGAAGGAAGAAGGCAGAAAGAGAGGGAGAAAGGGAUGAAAAGAAGGAGAAGACAGGAAGGAAUGAAUGAUGGGGGUGGGGAGGACACACUAGGUAGACACUUAGAAAUGGGCAGAACUAUAUGAAGGAAAUUUUGAGUUACUGUGGGACAUAAAAUAAUGAUUUUAAUAAUAGACACCUACUUUUUAAAUGGGAACAAGUAAUUUUUUAAAAAGGUAAUUUCUUUUCAAACUAAUUUAUGAACAUAACAUAUGUAUUCCUAAAUGAGAUUUUUUAAGAGAACUUUAAAGAGUUAUUCUAAAUCUUCUGUUAUCUGGAAGUCUAAUUAAGAAUAGUAAAUGUACUUUAGAAAAAAAUAACAAAGAAAUGUUUGUAUUGCCAGAGAGGAAAUUGGAAGACGUGAUAAUUCACAUGACGUUUACUGACAUAGGAAUAGACUGAGAAUAAACUUAGAAGCCAACGGAUAUAUAUACAAGUAGCUUAUAUGUGAUGCAGAUGACAUUUCACACAAGUAAGAAAAAAAGAUUCAUUAUUUUUUAUUUGGUAGGACUGCAGUAACAAAUUACCACAAACUUGAUGGUUUAGAGGAGCAGAGAGUUAUUCUUUCAUAGAUCUGGAGACUGGAAGUCCAAAAUCAGUUUCACUAAGCUGAAAUCAGUACCAGCCGCGCUGAGCUCUCUCUGGUGGCAUAGAUGGGACUCUGUCCCUUGCCUGUCCCAGGCUCCCUUGGCUUGUGGUGGCAUCUGUCUGAUCUUUGCCUUCAUCCUUGCAUGGCCUUCUCUUCUAUUUGUGUCAAACCUCCCUCUGCAUCUUUCGUGUGAAGACACUGAUUGGGCUUAUAGACCAUACAGAUAAUUCAGGAUAAUCUUCCCACAUCAAGAUCUUCAACUUAUCACAAUUGUCAAGAUUCAAAUUUUUUUUUAAUGCAUGUGGUAAUACUUACAGGUUCUAGGGAUUAGAACCUGAUAUCUUUGAGUGGCCAUUAUUCACCCUACUACAGUGAUGAACUAGAUAAUUGUCUCACCCAAACAUCAAAUACAUUUAUAAUACACUAAAUAUUUAAAUAGGAGAUAUGAAAGCAAAUUGGCAUCUGAUCUCAGAGAUACCCUUUUCUAAAAGAAGAGAUUGAUGGUUUUGCCCGCAUAGAAAUUCAAAACCUAUUUGGUCUACAAUUACUGUAAUCAAAAUUACAAAAAAAAAAAAAAAUCAGCAGAUUUGAAAAAGUAUUUGUAAGAUGCAAAAGUUUAAUGUUGUAUGAGUAGCUUUUAUAAAUAAGAAAAAUAAAAAUAUCUUACUAGAAAAAUGGUCCUAGAACAGGGACAGGCAUUUCAUUAAAAAAGAAAAUGAAAAAGGCUAAUGGAUAUUUAAAAAUUACCCUUUUAGUAAUUAAAUGUAAGGUAAGUGUUGAUAAUAUAUUAGUUUUGACCAACAAAUUGGCAAAAAUUAUAGAAUUGCAAUAUCUAAUAAUGGCAAGGAAAUUGACACUUUUAUACCCUAAGUGGCAUGUUAAUGGUAUAGCCUGCCUCAAGAACAAUUUUGAAAUAUAAAUUAAAGACUUUAAACUUUUUAUUCUCUUUGAAUUGAAAAUUGCAAUUUUAAAUUACGGCAACAAGCAAGCAAUUAUGCAAGUAGAAUCAGACAUACAUGUUCUUUAUAGCUUCAUUAAAAUGUGGAAAAAUUACAAAUGGUCUAAUAUCCUCAGUAGAGGAUUAGUUAAAUAAAUUUUGAUACAGCUAUAGGGUAGGAUAUUAUGUAGGUUUUAUAAAUUCUAUCUAAUGAGAUAGAAAGUUUUCACAGUAUGUGGUUACAUUAAAAAAAAAACACAAAACAGUAAUAAGAUCAUCUGCACAUCUGGGCCCAUGAGUGUGUGUAUAUGUGUAUGUGGUUGUCUGUGUGUAUCUGAAAUGACAAGUCAAAAUGUUAAUGUUGCUUCUCUUUGGAGGUAAGAUUGUGGGUGAUUCCUUCCCUAUUAAUUUUUUUUUAAUUUCAUAAUGAGUGUAUAUUACUUUUGAAAUUUGUAAAAAAAAUAAAUGCAUGUAUCUUACAAAUUAUUUCCAGAAUAAACUCAAAUUUUCUAAAAAUGGCAAAUAAAGGGCCUUUAACAUCUAUUCCAAAUGCCUUUCCAUUUUCACCUCCCUUGACUGCCCAUCACCUGCUUGGUGUUGCUAUAGCAACUCUGAAUUUCUUUGCUUUCUUCAAAUUGGGAUCCCACAGUUUUUAAGUGUAUGUCUUUAUUCAUGUUGUUCCUUCUGGCCCAAAUCCCCAGGGGACCCCUAACACUCACUCAAAACCUGGACUUCUAAGUCAGGGAGAGUUGCCAGGAUGUCUCCUGACAGGGCAAGUCACUUCCUCCUCUUUGCCAUCAGUUUGGCACACUUCAACAUACUGCAGUUGAAUUUCUGUUCUAUUUAUAUGUCAUGGCUCUAUUUCUCUCAUUUAUUGUGAGCUCAGGGCAGGUGAGACUGAAUCCUAUGGGUAACUCAGUACCAGCCCUGGUUAUGAGGUGAAGGUGGGAGAUGAGACUGUUUCACAUAAGCCUGAAGAGAAAAAGCCACCCCAAGCCCUCUGCCAGGAAGGAAGAUAAGAGAGGAGCUGCUCAAAGAUGAGAAUCAAGUGUGAUCUUUUGUGAUUGGUCAAAUGUGAAUUUUUUAAAGUGGACGUAAUGAUUGCAGCUCAUUGAUUCCUAUUGGUUGAAAUUACAUCAACACAUUUCGAAUUUGGUUUGAUUUGCGGGCUGAUUUUAGGAUUUUUCAGCGUGAGGAAAGCUGUUUUGUUGUUGUUACUCUUGAGCUGAUAAUUGGUGUGCUAAGUGGUGCAAUUUUGCUUAGCAGAUGGUAAUUGAGUUUCAAAAUACUCUCACCUUUUUACAAAAUCAGAUUCCUGAGUUGUGCUGAUUGCUAUGAGUCUUUGAAGAUAAUUAGAACAGUUGGGAAGUAUUUUAGGGGAAGGUAUGCCCAGAAAUCAUAUCUUCCUUAAAAUGCUAAAAACUGGUAAAAAACAGAAGAUGUGUCAUGGGGAUGAACAAACCCUGGUCUGAUCAGGUCACCUCUCACAGUCAUAACCAUCUUGGUUUUAAUUUUUAAAAAAAUAAUCUUUUAAAUUAUUUUAGUUGUUGAUGGACCUUUAUUUUAUUCAUUUAUUUAUAUGCAGUGCUGAGAAUCGAACCCAGUGCCUCACACAUGCAAGGCAAGUGCUCUACCACUGAGCCACAACCCCAGCCUGAUUUGUUUGUUUUUUAAUAAGAAAAAGAAAGUAGCUUUUAUAGCAUUUAGUUGUUACCAGUUGCUGAAUCUGAGACAGCUGAUGUGGGAAAGGAAAAAGGAGAGGGCCGUUACCUUCAAGGAGAGGGUGGAGUUGGUGGCAAGGUUGACCCUUCACCAGGGAGCAAAGCCGAUGUGCCCCUUACUUCUAGAAUGUUGCCAGACUAGGUCUCAGCAAGGAACUGUCAUAAGAAAACCAUAGUUGAGUUAGAACAAAGAAAACAAACUCCCAGCACCCAAACCUCAUUGCCUCAGGAGCAAAGCCAAGGUGCUGGAAGGCUGUGCAAUUUUGGCUUCUAGAUGCUGGUGUUGGACUUGGCGUGGAGGAAUUUGUGUGUGUUAGAAUGAUUUUGAGAUUUGUGUAUGUAGGAAUGUGGUAGUUGGAAAAUGGUUUUGACAUAUUCCCAAAGAAAGCUUAAAUUGCCGGCUCUCACAAAAGGGACAGAGAGCAGAGUUGACUCCAAAAUCUCUGAGUGUCUAGAUGCAGGGAUUUGUAGAGGGGAGUCCAGUGGACAGCCAGGCUGUCCCUAAAGUUGAUGUUGGCUUAAAAACUAAGCAGCUGGUCCUUGAACAGGUCACUGACUGUGACGAACUGACCUUGAAGAGCUCAGUUUACUUCUCCAUAGCAUAAGGGACAUGGACUAAAUCACUGUUUUCAAACUUUAUUUACCACAGGAAUUUCCUUUUUCCCAAAGAAGAUCUUACACUGAAUCCUGCCUUAUCUAUUAAAUAGAUAUUAAAAAUGGAGCUCCUCUGGCUAAAAUAGAGAAGGGGACUCACUCUGUCUGCUGGUGCCCCCUGGAUCCCUCUCUAUUUGGAUUCCCCAAGGCAUCCCGAACCUCUGGGAACGUAAUAUGCAACCAGAGUCUUGUUUGUGCCCCUUUCUCUUCAAGGUCACUUAUUUUGACCUUGAUAACUCAUGUCAGCUAAAUUAAUCCAAUAUAUAUCUUAAGUGUUUACUAAAGUUUUUUCAAAAUGAACACAAAUCACACAAAAUAUUUGUGUCCCUCUCAUACAAACAAAACCCUACCCAAACAUAUUAAACAUCAGAAACAUAACUUUUCUCCUGCCUCCUCUGCCUUCACACCCUUGCACACAGGGGUAGCUGCUUCCAAAGUCCUUCCCUUUCUCCCUCCACCUCUCUAGCUGGUGGAGGUAUCAUCCUCUUCCUCUUCUUCCCGCCUCCCCUCCUAGAAGAUCUGCCCUGGUCUUGUUCAGUCCUCUCUAUUAUGUCUAAUGGGAACCUACCAGCUUCUCAUUUUCCCCCAGUUUUUUUUGUUGUUGUUGUUCAUUUUGCCCAUUAUAACCCAUCAACUCUAGAACAGUCCAAGGAAGAAUGGUAGAGUCUAAUAUACAUGACUUUCUUCCUUUUAGAGUGUGUGUUGAGGAGGACUUGGGAGAAGAUUGCAAAUUUCUUUACUAAUUCUCUCCUCACCAGUGACCCCAUAUAUCCCAUUCCUAGAACUCCCUCCCUGCCUCCUGCUUUUAUCCAUCAUUAAAAAUGGACUCUGUAUGACUGGCACCCCUGGGGGCAGAGGCACUGUGCAAGGUUCACAUUUGGGGAGGUAUUUUCCAUGCUUGUUUCCUCUUCAUUUUUUUUUUUUUUUUUUUGUGUGUGUGUGUGUGUGUGUGUGAGAGAGAGAGAGAGAGAGAGAGAGAGAGAGAGAGAGAGAGAGAGAGAUUCAGUCUUUUCUUUUCCUUUUCCCAGGACCAAUCCCCCAUGUCCUAACAUUACUGUGUCAUGGCAGAUGGUCAUGAACUAAAAGUCAUCCCCCUCUACCCGCAGUUAUCUUGAGGCUAAUGAGGAAAUUUAAGGAUUCCCUUGGACCUUCCCAAUUUGGUUGCCCAACAGGGAUUUCUGGGGGCCCUCCUGGCAGUGCCUGGUGUCUGAGGUGAGGCAGGUACUAGCCAAGGUCCUAGGAGUAUUAUCUGGGAGUUCUGGGGCUCUGAGGCCAGAAGUACAGCAUUUCCUGCCACUGUAUUUGCACUUACCUGUGUCCCUUGGGACUGAGGCUGUUUCUCAGGCACAAUCAACACAGGCUCAAGUUCUUUUUGGCUCUACAUGAAAGAGCAAUAUGAUCUCUCUCCGCGUUUCAGAAUGACUCUGUGUUUUCCUAAUCAGUGGGCCUGGAUUUCUUGUCUUUGAUAUGUGUAGCUCCAUUUCCUUAUGUGUUACUUACUCCUCUGGAGCCAUGGUCCCUGUAGCUGACAACCCCUCCCCUAGUGCGCGCGCGCACGCACACACACACACACCACACACUCCUUAGGACCAGUUCUUGACAAUGCCAGCAUUUUACAGAUUGUGCCCUCUAUUCAAUGCUCGCCAACAAAUCUGUCCCUUUGGCAGCUGCGAACCAACCAUAGAUAGUCCCUUCCUUUUGGGUCAUUGGUAAAGAAGGGUGAGAGAGAAGAUUCUAAUGUGUGGCAAUUGAGUGUGUGUGUGUGUGUGUGUGUGAGAGAGAGAGAGGGGGGGGGGGGGGGGGGGAGGGCAUGCAAAUCUCCCAGGCAUUACCCCACUGAAUCUGUGUUGACAUAACUCACUGUGGCUCUCGGAGCCAGCAGGGCUGGGGAACCAGUUUUACCUCAUAGUAGAACUGUGCACCUGCUGCAAAUUGCAUUCAUCCAGUGUGCUUUCUCUCUUUCUUCUGAUACUCGUGUCCUUGGGCUGAAACCCAGGCUCUGCUUUGGCCAAAAGGCAUGGAGGGAGCAAUGAUUAGAGUCAGAUUAUCUUGUCCAAGUCUGACACUUCUGAGAAGGACAGAGGAAAUUCAGUGCUUGAGUGGUUAAUGGUAUGAACCUGGAGGUGAGUCCUGUUUAUGAGCCAUUUGACUUUGUGCAAAUUACUUAAUAUCUUUGUGUUUCAGUGGAUCUUCCAUUGUUGAGUUGGGAUGCUAAUACUAGUCCCUCUGAUGGGGUUGUUGUGAGGACUGAAUUAGUACGUGUCUCGCUAACAGUAAACUUCAUAAAAAGCACUUGUCAUUUCUUUUUCCUAUACACAAUGGCAAUAGCCUUCUAUUCUCACCAGAAUUACUUCCUUGAAGCCAUCAGCCCUCUAACUUGUUGCAAAUAGUUUCUUACCUGAUCUCCUCACUUCUGACCUUGAUGCCCUAUUGAAGCCAGUGCAUGUCACUUGCCUGUUCAGCACCAUCUGCUGACUCCUCAUCUCCCUCUAUAAGAUCAAAGUCAGUAUGUGGAAAGGCCCUACUCAAUCUGGCCCUGCAGGCUGUCUCCAACUCCUGAUCUUCCUCCCUUCCUCACUCUGCCCAGCCCCACCAGUUUCCACAUUCUUCUCCCAGGAGAAUGCCUAUGCCUAGAAUUCCAGGUCUUUUUCUCUUCAAACACCACUCAGCAAUUUUAAUCAUAGUGGACUCACUGGGUCCUAAAACUUGGAGAAUAAGUUUUUGAUAAUUCCCAAAAAGUCAGAGUUCAACCUCUGCCCCUCCAGCACACAUGCAAUACUCUGAAUUACCAGGAUGUUUUCAUUCUAGGAAUCCCUUCUUUCCAUAAUUGGCUUAUACUCUGCUAGGCUGAUCCUUUCACGUCGUAUGUGACCAUGUCUGUCACUUCCAAGGGGCGAUGGAAGCUGGAGCUGAGCUUUCUGUUUAAUUUGUAUAUUCCCAGUACUGUGCACAUCACUAAGUCCUGAUGGCUUAACUUGGGCAGUGUGAAAACAGGACCCUGGGUCCUGGGAUGGGCUUCCCAGCUACAACUACACGUAGGACUUAAUUACUUUAUGCACUGAAUGUGGGAUGAGCACCCAACAAGUACAAGUCCCUGAUGUGGAAAAUAUGAUAUAAUUCCCACUCUCCACAAUUCUUCUAGACAGUUUUUUCAGACAUAUGCAUUGGAAGCACCUGAAGGAAUUUAGAAAUAUAGCUACAGGUAUAUGUUAAAUAUAAUUACACAUUAGUUAUAGCUAUACAUUAUAUAGAGAUAUAUGUGCAUAGUUAAACGUACAUAUAUAUGUACACACACACACACACACACACACAUCUGGGCUUCCACCCCUAUGAAUCAGAAUCCUUACAAGUGGGCUCUUGAUAGGCAAUUCUUUUCAGAGCUCCUCCACUGGAGGUGGCUUUUGUGAGGCUUUGGUCUUAUUUGAGGUGAUUAGAGCUGGACAGCCUACACUAGAACAGGACCCAACACAAGAGGGUGUCCAGUGACCCCUAGAGGAGCAGGACUGAUUUGUAAGAGAUGAGGGCAAUUGGCUAUUUAUUUAUUUAUUUAUUUAUUUUUUAAGUGGGAGAGAAAGUUUUUAAGCCAUGGAGACAUGGGAGUCCUCUUAACCUAAAGAGACUGGACUGAGGCCAUGGUAGUCACAGGGGGAGUAACUGAUGUGUGCUAGAGGAUCCUGGGAAGGGUGUAGUCCAGUCCUCUGAAAGCCCACAUGAAAAGGAGACACGCGUCCCGUAUACAGGCUUCCUGCUCCUGGCAUCAAGUUGACCAAUUUUUUAUUAGAAAAACUAAAACUAAAUCUAGUGCUAUUCACCCCUGCUGGGGACCCUUGGAAAGAAGGGUCUCUUUCCAGAUUUUGAUAUAAUGUGAUUUUGGGGGAAAAAAAAGAGAAGGGGCCAAGACUAUUCAAUGGAGAAAGAGUUGUCUUUUUUAAAAAAUGAUGCUGAGGGGCUUUGGCUGUGGCUCAGUGGUAAAGCACUUACCUAGCACAUGUGAAGCCCUGGGUUUGAUCCUCAGCACCUCAUAGAAAUAAAUAAAUAAAUAAGGUAUUGUGUUCAUCUGCAACUUUUUUAAAACAAUAAAAAAAUGAUGCUGAGACUAUUGAAUAAAUAAAUACAUGCCAAAGAAAGAUGGUUCUGGUGGUAUAUGCCUAUAGUCCUAGCGACUCCUGAAGCUGAGGCAGGAGGAUUACAAAUGCCAGGCCAGUCUUGGCAACUUAAGAAAUUAUUGUCUCAAAAUAAAAGAUAAAAAGAGGAUGUGGCUCAGUGGUAAAGCACCCCUGAAUUUGAACCUCAGUACCUAAAACAACAACAACAAAAAGUAUGUUGGCUCCUUUUCUAAUACAUGCAUCAUAUACCCAAAUAUAAGAACUCUUACAAGAAAAUGUAGGAGUAAACCUUCAUGACCUUGAGUUAGGCAAAGCCCUCUUGAUAUACUAUCCAAAGAACAGGUGACAAAAGGAAAAGUAGAUAAAUGGACUUCGUCAAAACUAAAAGCUUUUUUUGUUUCAAGGGGUAGUACUAUCUAAUUCACAAUGGGGAGAGAAUAGAGAUACUUUGGACUAGGCAGAGGGGAGUGAAAGGAGGGGAGUGGGUAUGGGGUCAGGAAGGAGAGUAGAAUGAAUCAGAGAUUAUUACCCUAUGUGAAUACAUGACUGGUGUGUUUCAACAUCACGUCCAACCAGAAGAAUAAGAAGUUAUACUCCAUUUAUGUAUGAUGUGUCAAAAUGUAUUCUACUGUCAUGUAUUCAUAACAAAAUUUUAAAAAUUUGAAAAAGACAUAGUAUCAAGAAAAUCAAAGGAAAUUCACAGAAUUGGAGAAAUAUAUGCAAAUCAUACAUCUGAUUUUAAAAAUUAUGUCUAAAAUAUAUAGAAACUCUUACAAUUCAAUAAUAAUAAAAAAACACAAUGUAAAAAUGAUCAAAGGACUUGAAUACACAUUUCUAAAAGGGUGAUAAGCAAGUGUCCAAUAAGCACACGAAAAGCUGUCACCACUUUGCUCAUAGAUAUUGGGCCUACAUGUAUAAUUUUAAGUUUUGGAAAUAGACACAUAACUUAAAAAUCCCUUGAAGCUCUGAUUGUGUGUACAUUUAGUUAUCUUCAAUUGUUAAAAGUGCCUGUGCUUCAUGAAUUAACACUCCAUCUUUACUAUGACUUUUAGUUCUUGCCUGAUUUAGAAACCUUCUCUUUAACUUUUUGUAGUGGCACCUUAGAAACUUUUUCAAUUCAAAAUGACUCACAGGUGAGAUUUUUAUGGAUUCAUUCCAGGGUACUGGUAGUAGAUCUUAAUCUCUUAUAGUACAUGGGAGCAGAAGUCCAGUUAUGGGAUAAGAAAAAUACCCCUCAAAAUGUUGUUGUACUUUAAAAAGGAAUAGUGAAUUCUCCCAGGAGAGGAGGAGUGAGAGGACUAACUAACCCAAGGCACUGGCAAGUCAGGCUCCCAAUAACAGGGGCUCCACACUCUCACACUCAGGGCCAGGAGACCUGGUUCCUGGUGUUCAGCUGAUCAGAGGCACUUGCUUCCUCCUCCGUGGACUUUGUAAUCUGAAUAAGGAAGAGGGAGGGAUUGGCUUCAGGACCAGCCUUUGAAUCCACCGCUUGAAUUAGGACCAGGACACACCUGAUCUAUUCAGUGGCUAGCAGCUUCUUUCAAAUAACAAACAAGCUCAGCAUUUACACUGUGUAUAUAAAUUUCCAUCACAAUAGCUGCCCUGCUUUUAUGGAACUAGGAACAAUUUGAUAGCUGAGAUAAAGGGAGAACCCUUUGAAAGAGGACACCCCCUGAAAUAACAUCUCUGUCAAAGGGGCACGUUUCCUCCACACAUGAUCUCUUUGGGUGAGUGUCACAUGGCAGAGAAACAUGAGAGUGACUCCAAAUGGUCAUUGCUGUACAUGUGGAUAACAAAUUUUAAAGAGACAACUAAAGAGCUCUUGGGCAGCCAGGACUUGCCAGCCAGCUGGGCAACGUGCCCUGGGCUUGGCUGUGAGAGAGGAGGGGAGACAGAGUGAUUGUGUAGUGGUGUGGGGGAGGCCCGCUGAGCAAAUGAGUCCUUCUCUUUGUGGGGAAAACACAGGCUUGCAGAGAGGCCGAGUGGGCAUGAGUGUUAGGGAAACUAGAUAAUUUCUAAAUUGGGAAGAAAAGCAAUUCCAACAUAUUCCUUGGAGCAAUGAGCCCUGAGUUUAAAUCAGGAGAUGGGGGGUGGGGGUGGAAUUCAGCUUACCCUCCUCCUCUUCCUCUCCCCUGAGAGGGGAGGGGAAGGUAGAAAUCUGAAUUCUGAUUAUGCAACUGGGGGGAACUACCCUUAGAGAAGAAUUAAUUUGUAGGGAGACCUUGAAACACAGCCCUUGCCACAAUCGGACAGGGAUAAAAAUCAGGAGUUCUUUGCUCCAUGGCUUGUACUUUUUGUGGGUGAAUAUGUGGCAGGAUAAUAAAAUGUCAGUAUUUCAGGUUAAUUGAAGGACAAUCUAAAUGAGAGAGGACCUUGAAAAAAUAAAAUGAGUGAAGAGACCACAAUAUUUUUAGCCAUUUUAACCUGAGUUUUAGUUAGCUUGGGCUACAAUAACAAAGGAAGGAAUGGCUUAAGAACAGACAUACAUGUUCUCACAGUUCUGAAGGCUGGAAAUCCAAGAUGAAGGAACCAGCAUGGUUGGGUUCUGGUGAAGGUCUUCUUGAUGACUUGAAGAUGGCAGCCUUCUUGCUGGGUCCUUAUGAGUGUAACAUGCACUCUGGAUUCUCAAUUUUUAGUUGUAAGGACACUAAAUUCAUGAUGGGCUCUCCAUCCUCAUGAUCUCAUCUCCAUCCAAUCACACCCCACCCCACCCCACCCCACCCCACCCCACCCCACACGAAAGCCUCCAUACCACCACAUUGGGGGUUAGGACUUCAACAUAUGAACUUUGGAGGGACACAAGCAUCAUCCCAUAACCACCUGGAGCUUCUCACCCACCCUCCAAAGUUGAGCAGUACUAAGCCUGCUCAGGGGAAAUCACCACAUUCAUGAGCCUGCGUUCUCACUUGAGAAUUUGGGAAAUGGACCUCCAGGAUAAGCGGGAAGAGUUCUCUCCUUCGCCUUGGGAAUUCUGCCAUCUUUUCAUCUUUUGCUUCUGAUGCUUUCCUUUUGGGUAUGGGUUUCUAAUUUAGUCCAUUUCAGCUGCCAUGACAGAAUAGCAUAGACAGGGUGUCCUAUAACUGACAGAAAUUUAUUUUUCACAAUUCUGGAACAGAGAUGGCAAAGAUCAAGGUACUGGCAGAUGGUGUCUGGUAAAGGUCUGCAUCCUCAUAAGUGAUGGUUUCUGCUGUGUCCUUACUUAAGACCAUUUCCUCACACUUGUUUUAUAAAGACAUUAAUCCUGCUCAUGAAGGCUCCACCCUUAUGAUCUAAUCACCCUUCCACCUCCUAAUACCACCAUGUUAGGGCUUAGGAUUGCAGCAUGUGAAUUUGGGGGAGAAUAAACCUAUAGCUAACACAGUUUCUCAUAGACCAGGGGCAUGCGGCGGGGGAGGCUGAGAUUGAGCAGGCAAAGCAUGUGGGCAAGAUCAGAAAGGAUAGCAACCCCUAUGAAAUUAGAAGGCAACAAGGUUUGGGUAAGGAGAACAUAGAGAGCAGAGGUGGGGAUGGAAGCAGGAGACAGGUUCACCAAGAAAAGAAAAAUAGUUUGUGGCUUAACUCUUUCUGGAAGAUUCUUUUUAGAAAGCUCAAGGCAGAGUUCACAUAAAAAGGGACAAGUUUGCCUGGCAUGUUCCUGUGUUCUAACCCUGUGAGCUUUGCAUCGGGUUCCAGAAACCAGAACACUGCCCCAGAAACAAUGGCUCAGGAUUUGCUGCCUCUGGGUCUCUGUAGAGACCAGUACAAAGUCCACUUCCAUUUAGCCAGGUCUCCCAUCCAGCCAGAGCUCCUUGCCUCCGGUCCCAAAAUAUGUUAAAAGAAGGUUUUUUCCUUUAGAUUCUGAAAUUUCUCCUUCCUUUAGCACAUUGAGUGGUUGGGAUGAUAAUAAAGCUGACUGAGCUGGGCUUCACUGCACCUAGCCUGAGAGCCCUCUGUGACCUUUGCUAACUCCUGCAUUUAUUCCUCUGCCCCCACCCUCUGCACUUACCUUCUAGGCAUGGUGAUUUCCUCACUGGGCUGUGAGCUUCUCCAAGGCAGGAAGCAGAUCUUAUCCAUCUUUGGACCUCAGCACACAGCAUAAUGCUUGGAACCUAGUAAGGCUAACGAAAAUUCUGGCUUUUAAAAACACUUUACACUUAAGAAAAAAUGUUAUUUUUAAUAAGAAAUGCCAUAUUUUGUUAAUUUUUACAUGCAACAAAACAUGUGAUGGGGAAAAUAUUGGACUGAUAUACAAAUAUCAACAUCAAAAUUUUGUAACAAAAUAAUGUAACUUUAAGCCAUGGUAAGGCAGAAAAUAUCAUGACUAUUAUGAUUUAAAUCAGUACGACAUUCUAUUCAUAAUCUAUUGAUUUGAUCCUAAAAAUAGAUUUUUAAAAAUAUUCCAUCACAGUACAAAGUGUCAUGCAAUGUAAAUGAGCUAACUAUGAGACAGUUAUUGGAAAAUAAUAAUUUAUAGUGUGUAGAGACAGUCUGGGUCUGGGAAUUCUAAAUUGAAGGAUGACAUCUUUCUUGUCUCUCUCUCUCUCUCUCUUUUUUUUUUUUUUGCAGGGUGUGGGGGUACUGGGGAUUGAACUCAGGGGCACUGGACCACUGAGCCACAUCCCCAGCCCUAUUUUGUAUUUUAUUUAGAGACAGGGUCUCACUGAGUUGUUUAGUGCCUGCUUUUCCUGAGGCUGGCUUUGAACUUGUGAUCUUCCUGCCUCAGCCUCCCAAGCCACUGGGAUUACAGGCGUGCACCACCAGAUCCGGUUCUCAUCUCUCAUUUUAUCUCUUCUACAUCCAAAAGCUUAAAGUUGAGGCUAUAUGUGAUGCUGUGACAUGGGAGAAAUAGGCAUUCCCUUCACCUGUUUUGUUUCCUACAACAGCAUCAUAAUAGGUCUUGUCAGCCCAGUUCCUUAGAGUGCCGCAGCCAAGGCCCAACAUAGCAGCCAUGGGGAUUCAGAAAAUCUACAGUUGUGUCUGUGGCGGGACCAGGUGCUGGCAGAGAAGCCUGGACUUUGGAUCAGAGGACACCUUGGAUAGUUCUUAGAGUCAGUGCUCUACUUGUGCCUGGGUCUCUUUGCCCUUUACAAGUACCAGAUAUCAAUCAGCUCUCAUCCCAACAGCCAGUUCCUAUCUCUCUACCAAAGGAUUUCCUCCAAAUUGCUGGAACCAAUGUGCUGACAGAACAAGAAAAUAUCUGGGAGUUUACAUACCCCUGGGACAGUCCUUAACCAAGAGCCCAGUGCAUCAGGGGUAAAAUACCCCCACUCUCUUGCUUCCAUUAGAAUAACUUUAAGACUAUCAUUGUCUUCAGAGUUUCUUUUUCAGAUCACUCCUGGCACUGAACCUUUACUCCUCCCACUUCCUAUCAUAGUCCCACUACCCCAUUCGUUUUUCCACUCUUCCUAGGAAUCUCUCUGGAUGAAGCACUUUCACAUGAAAAACCUUGUCUCACUGUGUCUGAGGAUCUCGACCUAUAACAGACACCCUUCUUCCUGUGUGACUUCAGACAAGUUAUCAGUUCUAUUUGAACCCGUUUCUUUUUCUGUAAAAAUGACAUACAAAUAUCAACCUUAUAGAACUAUUGUAGGAAUUAGAGGUCAUGUAUAUAAAAUAUCUGGAGCAGUCAGUUGCUGUGAUGUAAGUUGUUAUUGGGUAUUUCCCCCUUGUUAUUGGUAUUUCCCCAAGGGAGCAGGCUCACGCAGGCUGCUAGGGGCAAUAUUCUCCAUGCUCAGCAUGGUGGUGUGGAAAUGCAGACAGUAGGAGCUGGGAUGGAAAAGCAAGCCUAGUUAUGUGUUGCCCUAGAAUUGAGCCUACAACCCCUCCAACUUAAAUGGGUCUAAGUAAUUUGGUUGUGAGCUUUUUAAACUCUGAGCACAAAAUUGGGAUAUAAAAAUAUGAUUUGAGGGGUAGGUGUCAAGAGAAGAUUCCGGAUUUGAUUUUAAUUACUCUUAGAAUUGUCUUCUGAUGGAGAAAAUCUUGGGUGGGUUUUUAAUAGGGUUUACUCUGAUAAGAGAGACCCUGCCUCACUCAGGUCUUUCACUGUACUUUGGCGCCUGCGGAUUGGUGACAGGCUGUCGGGGCUGGGGUUCCCAUGGGGAGCAGGUGAAGGUUGAGUCAGAUGAGAAUCAAAUGGCCUCAACUUCAGGAAACUUAAUUUCCUGGUGAUAAUGGAUUAAUCCAUUAUCAUCUUAUGUGUAAUAUCUGAUAGUGAAAUUCUAGUGAUUUGUUUCCUCUUCCUGAAGCCAAGGAGUUGCAGGGAUCUAAUACUGUAGAAUCCGUUCUCAUGCUCCUGUCCCUAGGCAUUUCCAUGAUCUCUGCCUCCUGCAUUUCACUCACUUCAUCCUUCCGCAAUACAGAGUGUCUGAAUAUAAUUCUCUCAGGUCAGCUUUCCUAAGCCUCUAUUCUCUGGAGUCUUCAACAUCUGCUUUGGGUUGCUACCUCCACUCCUGAAAAAUUGCCUUUUGCUGUUAAUUGUAAAUGCAGAUGGUAUAAAUAACCACUGAAAAUGAGUCAGAGCUGACCUGAUGAAAUCAUAUACAUAGGGCAGACUAGAUGGUGCUCAGGAAAAAGACAGGGCAGGUCAUAGGGGAGGUUAUACGUGGGGAGGAGAGGGCAGCAGCCCUGAGUAUUGAGAGCUAUACUCCAGAAUGGUUCUGGUUUGAUUCUGGUGCAGAACCUAUAGGGCACACUGGAUGUUUUGUGCCUUAAAGUCAAAGGCUAAGAAAACCAGGCUUUGCUGGCCCUGGAGUAAGCAGAGAGAACAAGACACAGAGGAACACACUGACUGCCUCUACGAGGACUGUCACCAGGAACAAGGAUCUGGGUGCAAUCUGAUGGUCUCCUUUCUGGAAGAAAGCUCCAUGUUUUAAUAGUAAACGUGCCCAGAAAAUCUGCAGGCCGUUAGGAGUUGGGGUGGGUUAGCACAAUGAACAUUUCUCACUGGAAUUCUCUGAGGGGGGCUGUAGUCUCUGUAGUGUGAGGCCCUCCAAAUGCCCCUCACUCAAGGUAGGUUUCUAAAAGAAGGUCUUGCCAGAUAAUCUCUUGUGUUGGUCAGCUUUUCAUCACAGUGACUAAAAUACAUGCCAACAACAACUUAGAGGAAGAAAGAUUUUUUCUGGCUCAUGGUCUCAGAGGAUUUGGUCCACAAUUAACCAGCUCUAUUGCUCUAGGCCUAAGGUGAAGCCGAACAUCAUGGCAGAAGGGUGUGGCAGAGGAAAGUUGCUCAGCUGUGGCCGCAAGGAAGCAGAGAGAAUGAGGGGAGGACGCAUCCUGAAGAAAAGGUAAACCUUUCUAGGACACAUCUCCAGUAACCUACUUCCUCCCACUAGGUUCCCCAUAGUUCAUUCAUCCAUCAGUGGAUUAAUCCAUUGAUGAAUUAAUUAAUCUAGACAGUGCCCUCAUGAUCUAAUCACCUCCCAAAAAAGCCCACCUCUGAGCACAUAAGACUUUGGGCGACAUUCCAGAUGCAAGCCAUAAUAUCCAUCAUGGAGAAGGGAAAAUACAGAGGAGCAUGGGGGUAAGUCAAGCGCAAGUCAAGCUCUAGGGAUAUACCUCAGUGGUAGAGUGCUUGCCUAGCAUGUGUGAGGUCCUAUGUUCAGUCCUCAGUAGCGUGCACAUGCACACGCGCGCACGCACACACACACACACGCACACAAAGGGUUAAUUUCUACAGAGAGAUUGGUGGCACAGCAUAGCUGUUUUCCAAGGACAAGGAAGUGACCUCACAGAGUCCUUUGCUCAGGGUAGCUGUUCCUCCAUUCCCCAGCUCUCAACACUAGGCUACAAAUCUGUAGCACCACUCCCUCCCUUCACACCUUUCAUAAGGAUUAAGUGUUUCAUCUCAGGUCAUGCCUGCUAAAGUGCAUCCAAGAUACAUACCACCUUGCCAGGACCAGACCAGGGCAAAGAGGGGUCAAUGGAAGCAAAAUCAAAACCAGAAGACGUUUUCUAUUUCCUCUAAGGACAUUAAUAAAGGGAGUCCUGUUGCCAUAAUAACUGAUGCCAAUUAGUCAAGGAAGCAAGUCUUACAUCACUAAAACUGAUGCAGUGUGGAAGCCACUCUGAACCCUUCUACCACUGUGUGUGCACCACACACACUGCACCUGUUCAGUCACUGUUUGCCCAAAACAUUAUUCAGCCUUUCCUUUGUUCCUGCUAAUCACUGCUAAUCCUGUGUAUUGCACAUGUAUUGUCACGCCCCUCCCUGAUUUACUUCUGGGGCAUCUAUUUGUUAUUACUAAGUCAUGUUUUUCAUGGAAACACAGCACGUGGGUAGACUGGGAUUGUUUCCUGUUUCCUAGACUUUCUGUUCCACCCUGACAAUGCUGGGUCAGCUCAGAGAAUCCUUCUUCUCUUUCACAAAAGAUACCUGUUCAGUUAAAGAAUGUCUGAGCAAAUCCUUCUUAUCUGAGCAUUAAAAUAGACACCCCUCAUACUGAGGGGCUGGUUAUUGCCAAAAAACAGGGAUAUGGAAAGAGGCCACAUUGUUUAUUUUCUGCCCAGGUCCACAGCCUGUAGGAAGCUGGCUAGUGCAGUUCUAUGAGGAAUAGUGUACAGUGUCGACUCCAUUAGUUAAUGUGGCGUGGAGCAGUGCAUGGGUGGAGUCUCUUCCUUCGGGGUCUACUGGGGAAUGCCUGUGCACUCCCCAACACCACUGCAAUGUGGUUCUCAGAGCCAGAGGUGGAUUUCUCUGCUCCAGUCUCAGCUGCUCCAGUACUGGUUCUAAAGCUGCUGGUGGAAGGCCAAGGAUAUUUUAUGGAUUCCUUGGGAUGCUGUUUAGGGGAAAUCUUUGGAGAUGAGCUGGUGUGAAUUCUGAGGUGUCAGUAUGAGCUCAGUUCCUAACGAUAGUUUCACAAACAGCCAACUCCCUGAGUCUCAUCACGCAGACUCUGCUGAUGAUGCUUCAUCUCAACCUCUCUGUUGGAUCAACUGACUGUGAAGCAUUUUUCCAAAUCCACUCUGCUAGCUGUUGAGCUUCCCAGAGGAGUUAUCCAAGGACCUCUGUGGCCUUUCCUUGGCUAGUUUGUGACAAUCCCAUGCUGGCCUUAUGGAAACCUGGCCGGAACAGAUACAAAGACAGUUGUUUGUCCCCCCACCCGCCAGGUCAGAGAGUACAUGUGGCCACAGCUGUUGGAACACUGAGCUCCUUGUGAAUUCAGCUCUGGAAAUGGUGUCAACAAGAGGAACCCCUAUAGCAUCUUCAGCAAAAACGUACUAAUGUCUUUCUACAGUAUGACUUUAUUAAGUGGUAAAAUUGGUGGGAAACAGGUACAGUGUGGGCCACAGUUCUAAAUUGACUUCUAGGAAUGGCAUUAUAAAAUGUGCUUUCAUGAACUCAUCAAAUAGAAAUUAUUUUCAUCUCAGAACAAUUUCAUAUUUGAGAGAGAUAUCACUAAAUAAAGAUUCAGAUAAACUACACCUCUAGUGUCUGGUGUAUGUUGAAACUUCCUUUGCAAUUGGAUUGCAUUGAUUCCUAGUGCCAUAUGCCCCUCUGCUCCACUGCCCCUGACAUCAGCAAUCAACCUGAAGUCCCUUUCCUUUUCUUAGAGCCUCUGAUUACUUAUGACUUUGUUCUCCUCUUAGGGCUCUUGCUAUCUCAGGACUUCUGCUCAUUGCUUUUUCUGCGUGCCUUUACCUAUCUACAGUAUACUGUCAACUCCCAAGCAUCCACUUUCUUUUUCUCCCCAUAUGUGCAUAUAUAUCUUUCUCUGUCUCUUGAGUCUGGAGAAAGCAUCUUAUUGAACCGUUAGUCAUCAUCAUCUUUCUCAGCCAGCUCUAGUUUGCAGAUUGUCAGCCACUUUGACUGGUACUUGCUCCUGACUUAAUCACUAUUGGUCAAAAUGUGAAGCUCCUUUGGAGAUGAUUUUUUGCUGAAAUAACCCUUGGGAGAGUGUUGGGGCAUGCCAGGCUUUUUGAGGUUAGGUCUGGUUGAUUUUCUAAUUCCACCCUCAACAGGCUGACUUGAAACCUUAUUAACACACUUUUAGCACAAUACACAUUUCACUAGAAAUCAAUGUAACCCAACACUACCCUUAGCAAGGAUUGUUACAUGAGACAGUAUCUAAGACUGGGAUAGUGUACCAGGGCUUCAAUAAAUUAAUAAAGCAGAGAAUAUGAACCAUGAGAAACUAGAGAAGGGUAGAUAGUUAAAUCUCAUUUGUGACCCAAGCGUUUGGGUUUUCUGUAACUGUCUAACAAAUCAUCCCCAAAGUCAGUGCCAUAAAGUAGUGACCAUUUAAUGAUUCAAAUGCUGGGGGGACAGGUGGAUAGGACAAGGUGGGCAUGACUUGCCUCUGCUCAGCAAUGUCCAGGCCUCAAUUGGGACUGAAAUAGAAGAGUUGGGGACACAAUCACCUGGAGACUUCACUGGAAUGACUGGUGCCUGGGCUGAUGUGAUCGAAAGGCAGGCUCCUGUGCCUCUGUUGAUUAGAGUUCCUACACAUGGCCUCUUUGCAGGGCUUGGAAUCCCCAGAGUACGUAUUUCAAUGAGCAAGAGCAGAGUCAUAUGACUUCGUAUGACCUAACUUUGAGAGUCACAUGACUUAUUCAUUGAUCAAAGUAGGCACAAACUCCCUCAGAUUUAUGGAGAGGGAAAUAGAGAUUCUACUUCUCAAUGAGUGAAAUGCCAAGGAAUUUGUGGUCUUAUCUGAAAAAAGGCCAUACCAAGGAUAAAUUAUUUAUUUCCCUUAAGGACUACUUUCCUUUGACAUGCUUGGGAAAGGGGUGAGAGGCUAUCCCAAUUUGGCUCCCAAAUCAUCUCUAUUACAGUCAGUUGUUCUUCCAUAAAGUAUGCUCUUCUUCACUGCACUGAAUGCCACCACUCCCUCUGCUGAUAACGGUGGCCUCCAAUAAUGGACCUUGGUUUCCAGGUGACAUUCCUGCUACCCUCACAGUAUCACCAUGGAGAAGGCAGGUAAGAGAGUGUAGGCUCCAUUUCUCACUUUCCUUGACAAAAGCAUGAUCCACUGUGGAGAGUGGUGACUUGGAUCAUGAUCUCUGACUGCCUCAUAGCUUUGUUUGCACUGGGGGUUUCCUGUGCAAAGGUGCAGGUUAAGAUUGCCCACUCAGAAAAAUGAGAAAUUAUAUCCCAUCUGAUUCAAAUGUAUGCUAUGUCAAGGUCAUUGUAUUGUCAUGUGUAUGUCAUGUGUAAUAAUUAAAACAAACAAAAAGAUUGCCCAGUUGCUAGGGUGAUGCCCGACCUGCAGUGGCUCUAUUCAAGGGCAUGGAGCUAUACCAGUCUGGACCUUGAGCUCAGACCACCAGAUCCCAGGGAUAGAGAAUUAUGAGCAUAACAAGAUAACCCUAAUGUUCUAGUGCUGCAUCCUUCAGAUUGCCUGCUUUGCAGAAACUUUCCCACAAAUAAAAUUUUGAUGACAAAACCUAUAUAAUAAAUGUGCUGAGCUAGCUCUGGGCCAUUGUUCCUCUAUCAGAGGACAGUGUUCCACUUGGUCCCAGCUAGAAGUGUGUGUUUGUCUUUUCUCACUCCCCCAUUGCCCCUUGCCAGUUUCUGAAUAGAAGCAGAUCAGAGCAAUCCACAUUUGUGUGGAUUCAUCAGAUUCUCUGAAGUACGAAGGGAACCAAAGGGAAUAACACUAUAUUAAGAAAGGCAUUUAAGACCACAUUAUGGCAUGAUUCUGCCAAGUUUAUGAGUGGAAGGUCUUCAAGAAGCUAUCAGGUAAUUAAACCCUUGUGUCUUACGUUUUUCCUCAUCUCUGUCCUCUCUCUUACAGAACUUCCUUUUUGUAAUAUGCAUGAUAAUCUUUAUUCACUUUUGGGCAACUUCUAGCCCUACUCAUGAAGUUGUCCUUGUCCUCAAGAUUGAUCUCUUUUUCUCGUAGUGUAUUUCCUUCAGUGUGAGUUACUCAGUGCAUAGUAAUACCCAGAAGACAAGCAAGAUAGAUGGUGGAUUUGGGCACUCCAAUUUACUUAGAACUUCCUUCACUCUUUUUAUUUUUUUAAUGCUGGGGAUUGAACUCAGGCCUCACACAUGUUAGAUAAGUGCUCUACCACUGAACUAUACACCCAGCCCUUUUAAAUUUUAUUUUGAGACUGGAUCUCAUUUAUGCUCAGGCUAACCUCAAACUUGCAAUCCUCCUGCCUCAGCCUCCCAAGUAGCUGAAAUUACAGGUAUAUACCACCAUGUUGGCUCUUUAAGUCUUUUCAGAGGCAAAACUGAUGGUUGUUUUAGCUAGCUUUUUCAUUGCUGUGACAAAAAUACUCAAUAAGAACAACUUAGUGGAGAAAAAGUUUGUGGCUCAUGGUUUCAGAGGUCUCAGUUCACAGACAGCCAACUCUAUUGCUCUGGGCCCAAGGUAAGGCAGCACAUUAUGGGGGAAGGUAUAUAUUGUGAUUGGCUGACUUCACUUAACAUGAUAUUCUCUAACUCUGGCCAAUGCCAUAAUUUUAUUACUUGCAAAUGCUAUAAUUAUUCUCUUUUAUUGCUGAGUAUUCCAUUGUGUAUAUUAUAUACCACAGUUUCUUUGUCCAUUCGUCUAUAUUGGAUUAGGCCCUGACUUUCUAAACAAGACUCCUAAAGCACAAGAAAUAAAAUCAAGAAUCAAUAAAUGGGAUGGAUUCAAACUAAAAAGCUUCUUCUCAGCAAAAGAAGCAAUCAAUGAAGUGAAGAGACAGCCUACAUUUUGGGAACAAAUUUUUGGCACAUGUAUGUCAGAUAGAGCACAUCUCCAGGAUAUAUAAAGAACUAAAAAAAACUUAACACCAAAAAACCAAACAACUCAUUCAAUAAAUGGGCUGAGGAGCUGAACAGACACUUCUCAGAAGAAGAUAUACAAUCAAUCAGCAAAUAUACGAAAAAAAUGUUCAACAUCUCUAGUAAUUAGAGAAAUGCAAAUCAAACUACUCUAACAUUUCAUCUCACUCCAGUCAGAAUGGCAGUUAUUAAGAAUACUAGCAACAAUAAGUAUUGUCAAGGAUGUUGGGGGAAAGGCACACUCAUGCUGGUGGGACUGCAAAUUGGUGCACCCAAUAUGGAAAGCACUAUUGAGAUUCCUUGGAAAGCUGGGAAUGGAACCACCAUUUAACCCAGCUAUCCCACUCUAAGGACUUAAAAACAGCAUACUACAGGGACAUAGCCACAUCAAUGUUCAUAGCAGUACAAUUUACAAUAGCCAAUCUGUGGAACCAACCUAGAUGCCCUUCAGUAGAUGAAUGGAUAAUGUAACUGUGAUAUAUAUAUAUAUAUAUAUAUAUAUAUAUAUAUAUAUAUAUAUACACACCCAGAUUUAUAGUUAAAUUAGCUUUCAUCUUCAGUAAGUGGGUUAGAUUUCACAUGAGUUAGAAAUGUGAAAAUUGUUACAUUUAUAGAUAUUUGGGUUAUGAUAACACUCAAUCAUUUUUAAGAUAAGGACAAAAGUGCAGGGUUAGGAGUCCCUGCUUACCAUUCUAAAUGGUAGCCUCUGUAGGGCUGGACUCUUCUCUCUGCGAUAUGUAAAUUCAAACAUCCCAAAAGAAGUAUGAACAAAUAUUCUUCAGUACAACUCUUCUGAAGUCUGAAGCAUACUGCUCUUCUGCUUGGUUUCCAGGUUCUAGAAGAGUCUGUUCCCCUUUGGAGAUGGUUCUUCUGUUCUCUCUUUGCCUGGCUGACUCCUGGUGAUCUCCUAGGACUCUGAGGUGUCUUAAAUACUCAGGCUAGCUUUACCUGAUUUGCCCCUGCAUCUUUCCUUAGUCUCAGUCUUGUUUUUAGCAGUCCUCAUAUCACCCUGUACCUUCCCACACUGAUCAUGGUUGUAAUGGUUUAACUGGAGGACAGGGACCAUGACUACCUAUGGAGGCUCACCACUAAAUCCCCAGUACCUACACCAAAGCUUGGCAGAAGUUUAAAUGAUUUAACUUAAAUGGCUUGAAUUUGAAUGAAUGCAUGUAUAGAUAGGAAUGUGCAAGAGAUGAUUAUAAGAAAUGUCAGGGUUUAAAUCACUUCUUAUUGAAAACAUGUCUAUCUGAUUUGCUGCAUGUAAGCAUCGUGACAAAUAUAACUUAGUUUCUUUUUUUACCACAUAUAGUUUAUAACUUCUUUUAACUUGCAACUAAGAUGUCAAGUUUUCAUGUUUAGGCUGUAUAGCUUUUACUGUUCUAUAUAAUAAUGCAGAAAUAGUAAUAAGUUUCCCAGUUGGGCUUUAUAAGUCCAGAUUUCUACUUACAGUUCUAUCUAUGAAGGCACAGAUGUCUGCCACCCAUGGGAGAUGUCAGCGAUACUGAGUAGGCUCUACUCUUACCCACCAGAGCAGAUUUAACCUCUCUUCUUCCUGGGUCACUGGCGUUUAUGUUCAUGGUUCUUUGUAGUAAACUCUUCCUUGACACUUCUCUCCCGACCCAGCAUUUAUUUCUAAGACCCUUUUCUACUACACAUCUCUUUUCUAGAGAAUAGAAAAGCUAAAUACUUGCUUCCUCAGUCUCCUUUAAAACUAGGCUUUACCAGGAGGAGAACUUGGGGCUAAUGAGAUACAAGCACAAGGCCAUCUGUGAAGUUGUUAGCAUUCUUGAUAAAAGGGACAGGUUUUGCUAAUGUCAACAUCUUCUAUCUUCCAUGCCUUAAAUAUGAACAUGAUGGUUGGAGAUGUAGCAGCCAUCAGGCGACCAUGGAGCAAUGAGCUGAUGCUCUAGGAUGGUGGAACAAACAGAAGAGCCUGGAUUCUUGAUGACAUGCCAAUCUUAGACUGUCUCUUUAUCUGAUUUUCUUCUCAUCUUUAAGUCUGCAGUAGAUGGCUUGUCAUUAAACACAGCUUAAAGUGUGCUUAACUGAUACAACUAGGUAGACUAUUUUUAGCUGGCUUCUUAAUCUAGACCUAAAUCUAUGUUUAAUCUAAAUUUACUCAAUUUAAUAGGAAUCUCCCCUUGAUCUAAAUACAAGUAGGGACCCAUAUUUGAGAAGGGGCAAUAGCCUUUCUUUUGUCCAUACCUUACUGUAUUGACGGGACCGCAAGUAGCAACUUAUAAUGAUGCUCACGCUGAAACUAUAAAUUGAUGAAGGAUUUAGCUCUUCUCUCUUACUCUAUGGUAAACAAGUUAAAAACCUUAUGUUCUAUUUCUCAGAUUUUACUACAUAAAGAACUUUCAAGAAAAUUAGAAAUAUUCCUUUUCCAACAUCUAGUAGAUCUAAGACCUAGACACCACUCUCAAUUUAAUGUCAAAACUACUUUGAAAUUAACGAAUUAAUAACAUACCAUGUCAGCAAACAGUGUUUAACCUUCUGACUUCUCUGCUGUAAUUCUUUAUCUAUAAUAAAUGAGAUGGGUAGAACAAUAGGCCUUUGGGCUCACUGUUCAACUUUAAAUAAAAAAAAAUUUAGACUAUGAUUAUUAAAUGAUGAAUGAAUUGCAGAAAUUCUUCCAAAUUCGCUUUAUGCAAAGCCCCCCAAAUGGUUAGCUCUUUUUAUCUCUAAGAAUUAGGGGAGCCUAAAGCUUUGACUGAAACCACAAAGUGAGUCCUCCCACCUCUGUCUCUCCUUCUUUCUCUUUGCCUUUUCCCUUGGAGCCCAAAGUUAAUAGGUUGCACAUGCUGUUAACGGAACCUCCAUCCCCCGCGGAGUCGACACUGCCAAGACGCCCUGACUCUCAGUGUGUCUCACCAGUUCCUGGCUUUGGUUUCAUGUGAUCUGAAGCACUCUCACAUGAAGCCAGGAAGAUCUACAGUGCAGCACUGUGGAAAAUGUGAAACAUCAGUGUAUUUUUCAAAGCUGGAUUCUAACUGAAACUUGGCUUGUUUGCUGUCUGGCUGAUAAGGAUGGGUGAGGGAUAAAGCCUUGGCUUUGCUGUGUUCGUGGUAGAAUCUAAGCAUUGAUCUUAAAAGGAACAUUUCAGGUAGGAGAGGCGAGUCUUUUGUUUUCUAACUACUGGUAAUAGCUAACUUUGGAGCUCCCUGGACAUUUACAUGGGCCAGGAGCUAGACAUGCAGAGGGGAGAUGUGCAGAGGGACUAGCUCUCAGGCUCCACACAGAUCAAGGCCUUAGGAAAAGUAUGGAUUGGGUCCUAUCUCACUGAGAAAUGUGUGUGUCUGUGGUGGCCACCUCCCAGAGAGAGAAAGGGGAACUCCAGCUGAAAAAUGGCUUCAUCUGUCUUGAGCAGACCUACUGUUUUUAGGCACUCACAGAUGGGUUUUUUUUUGUCAAAAAAAUUAUUGCUUUUGACCUUUCAAGAUGGGUAGGAUUGUGCAGGGCGUUUUCAUUAGUUUGUGGUGUGUCUGCUUUGCCUCUGCAGAGGCAAGAUGUCAUAUCUGUCAUGUCUGCUCAGGGUUUUAUAGUCUCUUAUUGAUUACUCUUUACAGACCCCCAUGAGGGAACUGGGUAAGAAGCAUAAACUAGCAAGCUCAUGUUUAUGUAGCUCACCUGAAUGCAUUGGGGUUUCUUUUCCUCUGAUGUUCAUUUCUUUGCAUAGUUGGGGGCUGCUCUAUUUUUCCCAAAUAUCUUUUGGUUGCUCAUUCAUAUUUAAUAAUAGUAUAGAAAUCACUAAUUUUGACCAUGAUCCUUAAAAAAAAGUACAAUUUAACAUAAAAACCUGGCAUGUCUUCAAAGACUUCUUAUGUACAAUGUUCACUGAUAGCUUCAGUUUUAGUUUGUUUCAUUUAAAGAAUGCCGGUCAUGACCACUUAAUUUAUGACCCACAAAGGAGCUGCAAUUUAUACAAAAUAUAUUGGGAUAGCAUAGCUUAUUUCAAAAGACAAAUGGCAGCAAUGGCAUAAUUGUAAAUUCAUUGAUGUUAAAAAUUAUUUAAGUUCUCAGCAAACUAGGAAUAGAGGAGAAUUUCCUCAACUUGAUGGAGAAUUUUCUCAACUUGAUGAAGAAUACAAAUGUAUAUGUACUCUACAGCUUACAUUAAACGUAAUGAUGAAUAAAUAACUCAUUCUUACCAAGAUUGGGAACAAGAAUGCCCUUUUCACUACUGCUUUUCCUCAUUGUACAGGAAAUUCUAGCCAAAUCAGUAAUGCAAGAAAAGGAAAUAAAGGGCAAACAGAUUGGGAAGGAGGAAACAAAACUGUCUUAUUUUUGCGGAUGUCGUGAUUGCCUAUAAAAUAAGAAAAAACUGCCAAAACAAAUACUGCUUGAAUUAAUAAGUGAUUAUACAAGAUUUCAUGAUACAAGGUUAAUAUAUAAAAAGAAUUGUUUUUCUAUAUGCCAACAAUAAACAGGUGGAAUUUGCAAUUAAAACAUAUUGCAUUAUAAAGUAAUGUAAUGUAUGUUUAUAUGUAAUGUGAUGCAUAUUUUAACGUAGAACAUAUUAUAUUAUAAUGUACAGACUUUAAUAUUAAAUAAAAUUAGGUACUUAAGUUUAAAUCUAACAAAAUAUGUGUAGUAUUUUUACGAGGAAAACUACAAACUCUGGAGAGAUAUUCCUUAUUUAUAGGUAGUAAGAUUAAAAAUAGUCAAAAUGUCAAUUCUUCCCAACUUAGACUAUAGAUCAAAUGCAAUAUAAAAUAAAAAUGUCAAAAUAUUAUUUUGUGGAUAUUGACAAAUUGGUUCUAAAGUUUAUAUGGAGAAAUAAAAGGCCAAGAACAGCCAACUCAAUAUUGAAGGAGAAGGAUGAAACUGAAGGACGGACACUGCCCAGCUUCCUUGUACUUAUUACAAAGAUACAGUGAGGACAGUGUGGUAUUAGUGAAAUAAUAGACAGAUCAAUGAAACAGAAUAGAGGACCUAGAAAUAGACCUUCAUGGAUUUGGUUAACUCAUGUUUGACAAAAGAUCAAAGGCAGUAAAAUGGAGCACAGAUAGUCUUUUCAAGAAGUCAUUGGAAUAAGUGGAUUUCCAAGUGAAAAAAAGAAAAAAAAGUAUAGACAUAGGUCUUAUACCUGUCAUAAAAAAUAACUCAAAAUGGAUCAUGGACCCAAGUAUAAAAUACAAAAUUGUAUAAUUCUUAGAACAUAGAGAAAACCUAGAUAAUCUUACUUAUGAUGAGGACCUUUUACAUAUAAUAUCAAAGGUACAAAUAAUAAAAUAAGAACUGAUAAACUGGACUGCAUUAAUGUUAAAAAAUGUCUUCUCUGUAAAAGACAAUAUCAAAAGAAUAAAUAGACAACAUACAACUGGGAGAAAAUAUUUCAAGAAAGCACAACUGAUAAAAGACUAUUAUCCAAAAUAUGCAAAGAACUCUCUAAAUUCAACAGUUAGAAAAAGAAAAACUUAUUUAAAAAUGGACAAAAGACCUAAACAGACAUCUCACCAAAAAAUAUAUACAUUUGGAAAGUAAACAUAAGAAAAGAUGUUUGACACCACACAUUGAGAAUGUAUUAGAGAGUUGCAAGUGGAAAAACAAUGGGAUAUCACUACAUACCAGCUAUAAUGCUCCAAAUUCAAAAUACUGACAACACCAAAUAAUGGUGAAAGUAUGGAUCAAUGGGAACUCUCAUUAAAUGCUAAAUGGUACAGUCACUGAGAAAAUAUUUUAGUGACUUCUUACAAAACCAAACAUAUCCUUACCAUAUGAUUCAGCCAUAACACUUCUUGGUAUUUACCCAAAUGUGUUAAAAACUUAUGUUCAUACAAAACCUAUACAGAGACGUUUAUAGCAGUUCCAUUAAUAAUUGCCCAAACUGGAAGCAAUCAAUCAAGAUGUUCAUCAGGAAGUGAAUAAAUAGAUAAUGUAAGACACAUCAAGACAAUUCAAUAUUUUUUUCAGUACUAAAAAGAAAUGAGCUAUCAAACCAUGCAAAAAACAUGGAGGAAACUUAAAUGCAUGUUACCAACUGAAAAAAAAAAAGCCAAUCUGAAAAUCUACUACUGUAUAAUUCCAACUAUGUGACAUUGUGGAAAAGACAUAACUAUUGAGACAAUAAAAUGAUCAGUGGUUCUCAGAGGUUAGGGGCAGGGAGGGAUGAAUAAUCAGAGCACUGGAAUUUUUAGGACAGUAAAACUUCUCUGUAUAUCUACAAUGAUAGGUAUAUGUUAUUUUACAUUUGCCAAAACCCACAGAAUAUACAACACCAAAAACGGACCCUAUUAUAAACCACUGACUUUCCGUAAUUAUGUGUUAAGGUAGGGCCCUUGGUUGUAAUGAAUGUAUCACUUCAGUGGGGAAGGGGUAUUGAUAGUGGGAAAGGUUCUGGACAUGAGAGCAAAGGGUAUAUGGGAAUCUCUGUGCCUUCUUCUCAUUUUUUCUGUGAACAUAAAGCUGUCCUAAAAAUAAAAUUCGUUAAUUAGAAAGAGUGAUGCAUGUUCUCUCUGGUAGACAGAUUUCUAAGAUGGCUCCCAGUGAUUCUUGCCUCCUGGUUUCAUAGCCCUGUAUAGCUCUUUCCUUGAGUAUAGUCUGGGCCCACUGACUUGCUUCUAAUUAAUAGAAAACAGCAAAGGUGAUGAGAUGUCAUUUUUUUGUGUGUUUGUGAAUGGUUUACAAAAGUCUGACUAUCAUCUUGCUUUCAUUUACUCUAAGUAGCAUUCUCUUUCUGGCUCUUUUUACCUUUUUUUAAUGAAUUAAGCUGGAGAGGCCCAUGUGGCAAGGAACUGAGGGCUGCCUCUGAGAAACUGCAGAUCAUUCCUCAGUUGAGUCUUCUAAUGAGACCAACAAUUUAAUCUCACCCCACUAACACCUGCAGUGCAAGCUCCUAUGAGACCUAGUGCCAGAUAAUUCAGCUAAGCCUGGAUCCCUGGCCUGCAGAAACUGUGAAUGAAUGGAUGUUUUAAGUAAGUAAGUUUGAGGGAUAAUUUAUUACAUAGUGAUAAAUAACCAAUACACUAUCUUUUAGUGAUGCACAAGAUUGGAAGUUUGCAUUUUUGGCCUUGGGGAAGUAUCCACUUGGUCUAAUGUAUGCAAUGAAAAAGACUUUGGGAUGUCUGUCUUUUUUUGGAUGCAUAGCACUAGUUUAAUCACUGACAGAAAAGAAAGGGAAAAAAACUUUUUGAAAAUUUUUUUUUUCUGGAAGUUAGUGAGUAAGGAAUACUUCAGAAUAAAAAAGGUCAAAGACUUUAAAGUUAUCUGUAAUUUUAGUGUUAAGUACUAUUUCAUUGUAAGAGCAUUCCAAUUGAGAAAAUUUGGAGAAAGGACAAUCAAUGUUAAAUUUCUUGAUUGACAAAAACAGGGCUUCCUGAACCAAGUAGGAUUUAGACAUUCAUGAAGAACACAAUUGUAUGGAGUUACACCAGACAUAUUUAUUUCUAAAUGCUGGAAUUCUAUGUGGUACAGUCUUUUGUUGUCUUCUCUUUGCCACCUCCAUUCGCUACCUGAGUGAUCUCAGCCAGGCUCAUGACUCUACAUAUCAUCCAAAUGCAGAUAAAACCUAGAAACAUGUCUCAAGUCUGGACUUUUUUCCUUGAAUUCCAGUUUUUUUCUUUCCAACUGCCUACUCAGCACCUCCAUUUGGAUGUCUACGAGGCAUUUCAAACUUAACACAUCAAUCUUCAAAUCUUCACCUUCCUCCCACUCUCCUAUCUUAAAAAAAAACAGCAACUCCAUCCUUUGGUACUGAAGCCAAAAAAAUCUUGGAAUUGCUCUUGACUCACUUCUUUCUUUCACAAAUUAUAUCUAAUCCCACUAGCAAGUCCCACUAGUUCCUCCUUUAAAAUAAUCCAGGAUCUGGGUACUUCUCAGACCUCUGGUCCAAGUUUUCAGCAUCCUUCCUAAUUCACCUCUUUGUUUAUGCCUUUGCCCUGUCAUGGCCCGUUCUUAGCACAGCAUCCAGAGGGAUCUUAUUAAAGUAUAAAGUCAGAUCCUAUCACCCCUGCUUACAUCACUACGAUGGCUCUUUUUCGCUCAGAGUAAAAGCCCCAAUCCUUACAAAGGCCCAGGACAGGCUGCUUAAACUGCUGUCCUUCUUCUCUGCCCUGGACUCCUGGCACUCUUCCUACUUACUUGUUCCAGGUGUGAUACCCUCAUCCUUGCAUAGGACAGAAUCCUUUUGUCAUGGAUUUUCGUGACUGCUAAGAAUGCUUUCUUCCUCAGACAUCCACAUGCAUCAUUCAUUCAUUUCUCUCAGGUCUUUGCUCAGAUCUUAGUGGGACUUACUUGGCCACCUGCUCUUAGAAGUCUCUGUUCCUUUUCCCACUUUAUUUAUAUUGACAUCACUUUCCCUCUCCCUCUGUCAUACUACCCAUUUUACACCAAAAUACCACACACACCAUACAUAUAUUGUCUGUGAUCCAAUACUGCAAUGGGUGCUCCGUCAAAGCAGGUAUUUAUGUCUGUAACCUCAGUGCCUAGAUUAUCACUUGGUUCAGAUUAGGCAUUGCUAAUUCAUUGUUGAAUAAAUGGAUGAAGCUCUUUUCUUUCUAGCUUUUCUAUGUUUUCCCAUUUCCAUUACAGGUAUUUGUAUUUUAAUUCUCUGAGCACCAGCAUAGGGAAUAGUUAUGCAUUUUGUUUUUGAUUGCAAGUCACAAUUGAGUGAAGUCUGAUUUUCUUGAGGUGUAACUUUAUUUCUUUCAACUUCUAACUUAUAAAGCUGAUGGCAAUUUAAACAAUUGCAGAAAGUUUUGGGGGGUCUUGACUGACUGAAAGUAAAUUAGAAGAAUAUUGAAUUCAACCAUGGCUCAGUUCAUGAUUGAUAAGAGUAAUAUUUCUACAUGCAGGAGGCAUGAAUAUGCACAUUAGAAGUGAGUUAGUGAAAAAUAAGAAAUACUGAACCUGUGGACCUGGCUCAUCUGUAGACUUUGCAAACCAUUCAGUGCCCUGUCAUUAGCAGGGGGCACCUUUCUUAAAAUAUAUGCGCCCAGGUAUAAAUAAUACCAGAGUUGAUUAUCAAAAGACCUGCCCAAAUAAUGGAAAGGAAUGCUACAGGGAGAAGCCAGAAGCCAGGGACACCACCAGCUCACAUUCUUUUCUGACGGCAUCAUACUUUAGGGGAGGAACAAAGGCCAGCUUGCUGUUUUAGAGAUGGGGUGGCAAUCAGAACUUUGAAUUUCUUGGCAUUUGCUAGUUUGAAGCUUAACCUUCUGAAUAGUUGAGUGUAAUUACAUGUGGUUUCUUAAAAGAGUCUUGAACAAAGCGAAUCAUUUAAGGAAUGCCCUAAAAGACAUAUUAUUUAGAAGAACUAUGCUUUGGUCCCAGGAGACCUGAAUAUACCUUUAAAAACACUUGCUCAUAAAUUAAUGGAAUUUCCAAUAGCACAAAAGAAUCAUCUAGUGAAAUCAAAUUUCUCCUGACUCAUGAUAUCCAAUCUACCCCAAAAGCUCCUUACCAAUAAUUCUCUUAAAUGCAUAGUUUGAAAGCAAACAAGACAAUGUGCAGCUGGACCUUGUUCAUGGAAUGUAUGAGCAAGGGAAGGUUUAAGCUGGAGAGGACAGUGGCACUGGGGUGGUGAGUCUAGUUUUGGAAAGAUGUUUUAAUGAAAGGAGAUUCAUAACUGUAUAGUGUUUCAUCCAGGCUGUCACUUGGAAAGCAGACAAUCUUGGUAUUUAGAAAUAUAUGCAUUUGCUUUUUUGACUUCAGUUUUCAUUUUAAAUAAUAUUAAUAUCUAAUAUAUAGUGAAUGCUUCCUAUGUGCCAGGCAGAGUGCUCUACAUGUAUUACUUUGCCCAUUCUUACAAAAGCUUUAUGAGAUAAAUACUAUCAUUGUUCCUAUUUUACACAAGAAAAAUGAAGAUAGUAAUCUUAGUGAUUUGCUGAGCUUUGAUUGUAAAUUGUGGAGCCGAGUCCAUCUGCUGGUCUUAUUACUGAAGUCUCUGCUCUUGACACCCAGCUGUUUGAGUCCCAAGAAGCCCCAUUCAGCACACCAACCUCCUUGGUCAACCAUGAUAAUCACAUUGAGCUACCAAUGGCAUGUCUACACCUUCCUUUCUCCGUGAAGGAUCCUGAUGAAACCUAUCUCACAAAGUUCCACUGUCUGGAAAUGGUGGACUACCUCCAAGUGCUUUUGUUGGCCUAUUGCUUUAAACCUGAUGACACAGAAUGCACAGAAUGGCCAGCAGAUGGCUUUAGUAAGUGGGAGUGGAGCCAACACUUGUCAGAGGCCUACAUGGUUUUCGAAGAGAGUUUCCAAGGAUGAGAUGAGAUCCUUAAGGGCUUAUUCUAAUACUUUCUGUUCUCAAAGCACAGUCCACAUAUCUCUUUUCACUUCUCCAGAGGCUAUUUCCUUUUCUACUAUGUUUGGGUACAAAAGGGUUCUUGGCUGAUCCUGAGGUUUAGGACAGUAAUGGGGGGGGGGUCAUGUGGGUGACGGCUGGCUGCUUUCUUAUUGGCUAGGGCUCUAUUUAUGACCCAUACUCACUCACAGUGAAGAGAUUACGCUCACAAGUCUAUGUGUAUGUAUGUGGUAGGAGACAGUAGUGUUGAUGCAUACUAUACCUGCCAAACCUUCAGUCAUUUUAAAGAGACAACAAAUUCAUACGUGUGGGUUUGCACAAAAAUCUUCAGUGAAUUAUCGAGUACCUGCUAUGUGCCAGACACUGUGAGAGGUGACGGGGAUAAGAUGGAUAAGAUCUUAAGCAGAAACAGACAUGGUUCCUGGCUUCCUGGGAUCCCAGUAUACGGAGAGGCAUAAGCAGCAAAUCCACAACUGUGGUUAGUGCUAGGAAAAAGAGUGCUUUGUGCUAUGAGGACAUAAAUAAGGGAAUUGAGUCUAGUCAGAGAAGUCAGGAGAGGUUUCUUGAGGACUUGAAGCUUGACCUGUGAUCUGAAGGAGGAGAAGAGAUGAACUAAGGGACAGGGGAUCUUUCCAGGCUAUGCUCCAGUGCAUAUCAAGGCCAUAUGGCUAUAGGCAGUAUGGCAUGAAUCUCUCUGCAGAGAAGCAGAAGUAGAGGAAGACGGUAGUUUUCUGCCUCUGGGAAUGCUGUCUUGGACCAUGCCCUCUCUAGGGCUGUGAUUUACACUUUCUCUCCCCUCUCAAAUUGUGGACACUCUGAGUAGUUCAGGAGGUUGAGGCAGGAGGAUGCAGGUUCAAAAAGCCAUUCUCAGCUACUUAGUGAGGCCCUAAGUAACUAAGCAGACCCCGUCUCAAAAUAAAAAAAUAAAAAGGUCUGGGGAUACAGCUCAGUGCCCUUGGGUUUAAUCCCUAGUACUAAUAAAUAAAUAGAUAGAUCCAGUUUGACCCCUUCAGAUUUAGCUACUGGAAACUUUAAACCUGCAUCUGCACUCUCAGAGUGUCUCUUUAUACCAGCUCUCAGAAAUGCCUCAAGAAAGUGUUCCUUAAAAAUUUAAAUGUAGUAACUUUGUGGAGAACCUGCAGACCCCUGAGGCAAUGGUGAGCCCCAGGUGUCCAUCAGCUUGAGCUUAUUCUAGACUUUGGCCCAGUAUUAAUAGGACAGAGGCCACUUAUGCCUUCAGGAAAAUCGGGGGGCUCUGGUGGAGGCCUGGGGUGAAGGUCAAACUCUCUCCUUCCCUCUCUCCUUCCCUACAGGGUGACUUGGACACGAACAACUUUCUGCAGUGACCAUCUGAGGAAGACUGCCUGGGUAUGGCAAGUAGGGAAGCAUUUCUUACUUCAAGAAGUUUUCAACCCAGAGAAGGUAGAAGAAACUACCCCCAGAUGCAAAAUGCAAUCAGGUGAGGAAAUAUAGUUCCUCCCUCCAGCCCUCCCAGGCUAAAUGCAGGCUACCCUCCCAUGCCAUGGCCACCCUUUCUCCUCAUUCACAUGACUGGAGCAGCAUUAAAAUCCUGGCUGAAAAAGGCAGUGGGAUUAGGCACGUCCUCAGGAAUCCUUCUUUGAGCACUUAACAGUCAAUCUGGUUUUAUUUCCCAAUAACAGGGCUUAACUACAAUUCAGAAGUAAAGGCUGCAACCCGCAGACUUCCGCUGAGGGCUCCUUUCACAUCUGAGCAUCAGUGGCUGCUGUGCCCACACAGAUCCCACAUCAGAAGGAGGAGGGCGCCUCCGAGGCAAGACAUGGACCCUCCACAGAUGACGGAACCAGCCCCCACAGAUCAUCUUCCUCCUCAUUCUCUAGCUGGUAUGACCACCCUUCAAAUGGAGCCAGCCCCAAAGCACAAGCCCUGCUGGGAAUGGCAGCCUCCAGAAGGGGGAUGGGAAAGAGCAGAGACACUCUCCACCCCUCAAUGUGCAGGAGAGAAAAACAAAACCACUUGCAACUGAUGUCAUAGUGGACCAUAUGUGAAACCAUCAGUGUGAAGGGUGGAAUAAUGUUCUUCUAUUUAGUCUCAAGAAAAGAAAGAAGAUAAUCCUUACUGUACGCUUGUGGUUUGUGACCCAUGACCUCCUGUAGCUGAGCAUGGAGGUGCCAGGCCCUAGUGGGAGGUCCAUGGCAUUGCCAGCUGUGGCAAUAUCUCUAAUCCAAGCUUCCAGAGAGGACUGCCUCAGCCCAGAUUCCAGGCUACAGAUUCAAGCUCCUUACCAUCCACUUCCAUUUUCCUCCUUUUGGACAGAGACCCCUGGACCUCUCUUUUCUUGUUUUACAAGUUCCACACUCCCCUUUUCACCCAGGUCCCUGUCUGUGGAGGCAGUCUCUGUAGACUUCAUGGGUCCACUGGUCCUAUGCAUGACUUUGACUCAGGGGUGCUCCACUGGCAGCUGCAGGCCCCCAGUCUCCUUCAUCUGGGCUGGGUCCAUCCAGCAGUGAGGACAAUGUGCUGGGGCUGCACUGUGGGGCAGGGGCAGGGAGAAACAGUUUGGGUUGCUACUUCAUUGCCUAAAAGGAGGAUCUACCUCAUUGUUUUUCACCCCAGGCUAUGCAUUAGAGUUUCCCAGGAGUUUUUAAAGCUACUAUCUCUGAGCCCCAGCCUGGCUGUUUUAGAUGAGAUUAUCUGGAGGCACAACUGGGAAAGUUUUUUUUUUUUUUUUUAAUGCUCUGCAGGUGAUUCUCAUGUACAGCCAGUGUUGAGAGCAAAUGCUUUACUCUAAAUCCAGUAGGACAUAUGGCUGGAUCUUCUUAUUCAUCUAUUCUCUGGCUUUAGAUGAUAAAAUAAAGAAAUAAAUUUAGCAGUGUGAAUCCCUGCCAGAAGAGACAGAAAAGUGGGAGGGGAAAAAGAGUUAUGUUCCCACAGGCUUCACCCGCCCUUGACCAAACUGACUGAACCUGGUGACUGCUGCCCCUGUAGGCUUUUCUUUUUAUCCUGGAAAUAGCCAACUUUUGCAGGAUACCCUCCAGCAUCACACAUUUACUUUUACCUGAAAAUCCUUUGAAAAUUUAUGUUCUUAAGGGAAGAAAAAAAAAGCAGCUCACUUGCCCCGCCUCUGACCCCCCUGAUCCCGGGGAGGUGCGGGGAGCUGGUACUUGUCAAUUCAAGAAGCUAGGCAGGAGCUGCAGUCUGAAUGAGGACCUCAGCUCCUCCCACCUCAGAUGUGCCUGACCUUUCACUCACAAGAAAUUUGGAUUUAAUAGUUCAGCUUAAUGGAGUGGCAGGCAGCAGGCCCCGGAAGACAUUCUUGCCCUGACUUUAGUUAAGGUGUCUGCAUAGUGUCUCAAGUAUAGCUAAUUAGGGUAGCAACAAGGCCUUAUUUUCAUAAUAUAAGAUGCACAGUGAGAAACCAAUUCCAUUUAGAUAAUGGAAAGAAUCAAGUUGAUUGAAACCCAGAUCAAAGCUCAUUAAACAUGCAUCAACUCUUAGGCAACCACAGAUAACAUCAGAGAAAUGUCUCUUUUUUGCUGUUUCUUCUUCUUAUCCCUCACUCUUCCCCCUCCCCCUUUUCUCUUUGCUGAGACAAUUGUCCCCCUGAAAGAAGAUCAUAUUGAACUUCAGACGGAGAAUUAGACUGUGGUUUGGCUUCAGAAGUUCCUCCAAAUCUCUUGCAUGAACCCAAUUUAUUUGACCACAUUUUGCCAGGAUGAGCUUACCUAAAAAUCUCAGCAAACUUCAUCUUGAAUUCUGUAAUCUGCUCAUUGUGUGGAGAAUACACUUCAGAUAAAGCCCAGUGGUUUCAUUCUCUAGCUAUGCUGUUCACAGGUCACAGCAGUUAUGGGCAAAUGGCAGUUUCCAAGUUUGCCACUGUUGAUUAAACUGCACAUGGUCUAAAAUAACAGCAAGGCACUGACUCUGUCCCUUGGUUGAGGACCCACAAGAGGAGGACAUGGGCUGUCAUGGGAAAGGCGUGCUGCCUGAUGUUCCCUGACAUUGGGUAUGUUCAUUAGUGGAAAUGUUGGAAGAAGCUGCAGUUCCAUUGGACUGGGGCCAGUGUAUCCACUUCCCAUGAGUGUCAUAAAUCAAAACUUUCCUGGAAAGGUCCAGACUUUUAGAAUUUAAGAAUGGGCCAUAUAUUAAUUUGCUGGGGCUUCUAUUAUAAUUUGCCACAGAAUGAAAGGCUUAAACUUUAGAUACCUGUCAUAUCACAGUUCUUGAAGUUCAAGUUAUUGGUUGGUAGUGUUGUUUCUUCCAAGGGCUGUGAGGGAAGGACUCCCUUCUUGGCUUGUAGAUGACCAUCUUUUUCUUGUGUCUCUUCACAACAUUUUCCUCUAAAUGUAUAAUCUUGGUGUUCAAAUAUCCCUUUUUUAUAAAGGUCAUUAUUCACAUUGGGUCAGGGUUCACCCUCAUAACCUCAUUUUAACUUGAUUACCUUCAAAGGCCCUGUCUGCAAAUACAGUCACAUUCAGGCCCUGAGGUUAUGACUCAAUAUAUCUUUUUGAAGGAACCUGAUUCAACCCAUAGCAGACCACAACCAUGAUGGAAUCUAAUAAUAAAAAUUAUUUUGUAUUGAGGAUUUAUUUAUAGUCUAAAUUUGGCAUUCCCUUUAGUGCCUUAUGAUAAUUUAUUUAAUCCUCAUAACCCUAUGAAGUCAGUUCCAUUUUUAUCCAAAUAUUACAACAGAGGAAAUUGACUCUGUGGCAAAGUUAAGUAACUCGACCAAGGCCACACUGCUGAAAGUAGAGCCUCAUUCUGUAAGAGUAGAGCUAGGACUCAAAAAUGAGCCAUCUGAUUCUACGUUAACGGCUGUUCUACACAGGCUCUACUUUAUGGGGUUCAAUUUAGAGCAUAUUUCAUGUUUGUGGCAGCCAUGAGAACACACCUCACAGACUUUCAACUGUGGGACACUUAAAUGAACAAGGGCCCAAUGGCUGAGCUUAGAAACUCAUUGCCAUGUUUUCACUGAGGACACUCUUUCUGCUGGCUGCCCCCAGCCAAUGCCAGAGGCAUGAAGGGAUAGCAAGGCAGCCUGUUUCUGGGAGAUGUGAGACUUCUGUGAAACCUCAUUUCUUGGCUUGAGGAUUCACCGACAGCCUUCCACACCUUAUUUCCACUGCAGGGCAGUCCAGGAUAUUUUGUGUGCCUUCCUUCCGUCCCUUUCCUCUCUCCUGCACUCUGGGGCAGGCCUGAGACAUGGUCUCCUAACAUAUCAUUCAUUGCAUGUUUAAUGGUGUCUGCAUGUCUAAAUCAUGGAGGCUCUGGACAAAACAAUGUUCUAUUUAAUCAAGAAGUUUCAGAAUAUAUGUGGGUUUAACUGUGCUUUACAUUGAUCUAGCUCAUUUUUUAAAAUCAUAGACUAAAAAAUUGUACUUCUUACUAGGUAUGGUUAGUGAUUCUAUGAGAUGUAUUUUUUUUCCUCAGCAUUCAGAAAAUUCAUGUAGUUUUGCCAUUUUAAAUGCUGCUCCUUUCUGUCCUGGCUCAGACAUGCAGAGGUCCCAGAGCCUUGCAUGUCGCAAGUCAUCAAUAACUGAUGACUGACAGCCCCACAGAAGGAAUUGAGGAUCCUUUUCUCUCCUGAUACUCUGUAAAAUUAAGCUGGCUAGAGAACGGGGGCUGGUACUUUGAGGGGAUGAGAGGGAAGGAGAAAGCAUAUCAGACAGACGUUGUGGCCUUAGUUAUGAGAACUUUACACAGACAGGCAUGUGACCCUUCAUGCAAGCUGAAGACUAUCACAUGAAGUAGAUUACCAUGAGACACUGCACUCAGAGAGACAGAACAAGUCUCAUGGGAUUCACAAGGUGACCUGUUGUGUCUUAGAGGCAGGAACACUGGUCUCAGAGGCACUUUUUAACCUAAUUACAUUAUUAAAACAAAUAACUAAUUGUUCCUUUCCUCUUUUUUUUUUGGCAACUAAUUGAAACAUUUACUUUGCUAGUACCCUCUAAAGCUAGGUAUGGGGCUUUAAUAGUUAGUUAGCUUUCUAGUGGGUAUUUAGGUUCUCCAGGUCUUGGGCUCCCCCUUUGGUAGUUAAACAGAACCAUAUUACAAAAUGGGACAGUUGGAAUGAAUGAUCACUGAGGUCCUUCUCUUCAUUAUGAUUCUCUGAAGUGUCCAUCUUGGCAUGAACACUAAUCAAGUAAAUUUGCUGGGUGUCAGGAUGGGAUAGAGAACUUUUUCCCUCAGGGGAUGGUUUCUGCUGUCUUCCCCCCAAGAAAAGACACACAGAAACUCCUUCAUUUUUGAGGUAUUCUGACCCUAGGCUGGUUAGCUGACCAAAGGAAGGGGAAGGAUAUGUGACUUCUUUACAAGCUCAGUGGUUAUCACCUUGACGGUUGGCUAUGCCAAUACAGGUGCCGACCAUAAACAUUGGCAUUUUUUUUAUUCCAGGAGGAACAACUUGCCUCGUGGUAUAUCCAAAUCUCCAUAAAUGACAUGUUCUAUUAUCACAGUGACCUGCUGCAUAUUCCUCCACGUUAAAAAAUAAUGCCACAGGUGGCUUGUUCGGUCCAUGAGACCAUCUCAGGAUUGUUUAAAGCAGGACAUGAAACUGGUGGAAACUGGCUCCCUGACCAGCAAGAACAUAUGUGGGGCAGCUUUGAUGUGACUGAUAGGGUAGUGUUUGCUGAUAGGGCCUGCUAAUAAUCCAGUGAGGUGAUGUCAUUCUUGGCAGGAUCCAGAAAGAGAAACAGAGGCCAAGAGCUCCCCUUGGCUGACACAGCCCCUUCAGAGUUCCUUGACUUUGCUGUUGCUGAGCAGAUGAGAUUGGAAAGUUCUGUGAGCCCAGCUGAGUUGUCUUACCUCCUGGGGAUGAAAGUUUUUGUCCAAAACCUUGGGUCACUAGCUGGUUUUCAUAAAUCCCUUAGAAAGCUUUAUACUACCUUUGAAAAUGCUUUGAAAAUAUUCCCCUGAAUAGCAGUUCUUAAUACAGCUAGGAGAUAAUUAAUUCCUGGGAUAUAGUCCUCUGUUUUAAAACUGCUUUGUCCCAUAGGGAAGAGACCCAAACUCCUUAACCCUUGAGUGUCUCCUAAUUUUGGGUGGUCAAAGAAAGUGCAGGAAUCGGAAUCAGGGAGAAAAGGAAACUUCAGGGUACUCUUGAGUCUAGAAUUACAAAAAGCAAGCUCUGUGCUCUUUAAUAGAGUACAUCCUGUUUUUUUUUUCCUUUCUUUCUUUUAGUUUCCUGGAUUUUGCUUAAGCCAAGGACCAGGAAUCCUCGUGUUUCCAGGAGGAGAGAUUGAUUUGGGUGUCUACCCACAUCCACAUUAUGAUCCUGUGUGCAGCCAUAGCCAGUCCUCCUCUCCCUGGCCUCCUUUUUAGGCAAUCUGUGACCCUUGAGAGUACAUGCUGUCCCUGAUAAGGGGAACCCUAUCUGCGCUUAUUAGGAAAGUCUGAGAAAAUUCACCACCUUAAAGAAAAGCAUCCACCAUAAAAAUGCAGGACUUAGUCUUGAUGGAACCAUGACAGCCAGGGUCCUCCAUCAGGAUAGUCAAGGGUCAGACUUUCUCCAAGAGGCAAGAGGUGGUCAUUUCCAAUUUGGUUAAUUUUUUUUUUUUUUUUACAAAAUUGCCUAAGAAUAUGGACUUUUUACACUUUUUUUUUUUUUUUUAAGAAUCAUUGAGGAUAAGGAUGUUUUCCAUGGCUGGUGAUAUUGUUAAUGAUUAUUCAGAAAAAAAUUCUUCAGAAUAAUGAAAUAAUAUAUUUCAUUAUUUAUAGAAUAGAUAUCAUCUAUAGAGCAGGCUUAGAAAAAGAGCUAAUGUUGGUAAAGCAGAUGAUAUUUUCCAGUUGGCUUUUAUGAUAAUCAGGGCUUGGUUGCCAUGGAAAAAAAUCCAUCAGUAUGCUGAGUUGAAAACAUUUGGGAAGAAGGCUGAUAUUUCCAGUUCCACCGCGAGCAGUGUUCGUCCAUUCCACAGAUACUUAUCAAAGAACUACUAUGUGCCACACAAAGCUCUGUGAGCAAGGGACACAGCAGCCUGCAAAACAGAACGAAUCUCUCACAGAGAACAUUCUGGGAGAGGGAGACAAGCAUUAAAAAAAUAUAUAUAUAUGUCCAAUGGUGAUAAAUUCUUUUGAAAAAACCAAAGCAAGAAGUGGGGAUAGGAAGAGCCAAGGCAGAAGUGGGAAUGGACAGGGAAGGCUUUGUUGAGAAGGUGGCAUUCAGUAGAGGACAUGAAGGAAAGGAAGAGAGGCCCUGAGGAUACUUGGGGUGAUAAUCCAGGCAGAAGUAGCAGGAAGUACAAAGGCCCUGUGGCAAGAGCCUGGUGUGGUUGAAAAACAGUAUAUAGGCCAGUGUAGCUGUACUAUGGUAAGCAAGGAAAAGAGUUUUGGGGAAGAGGUCAGAGGUAACAGGAUACCAAGUUGUAAUGGCCUAAUAUUGCUAGCACCUUCUGCUUCUGGGCUUUUUCUCUGCUGCUGACCCUUCUCUUGACACACACAUCCAUAACCAGCUCUUAUAGAGGCUCAGCUUCUCUAAACUAUUGUUGACUUCUCUGGCCACCACCAUUGCUGAAGUCGCUUUUUGGCCCAGAGAGCACUUACUGCCUCUUGGAGUUCUGGUUCUGCUGUGAUGGUUAAUGUUACUUGUCUGACUGGGCUAAGGAGUGCUGAUUACUGGUGAAACAUUUCUCUGGGUGUCAAGAAGGUGUUUCUGGAAGAAAUUAACAUUUGAAUAAGUAGGCGGAGUAAAGAAGUUCUACCUUCACCAGUGAGUGUUCACAUCAAACAAAAAGGCAGAGGAAGGGAAGAUUCUCUCUCUCUUUUUGGGCUGGAUCUUCCAUCUUUCCUGCCCUCGGACAGGUUCCAGGAUCCUGGGCCUUUGGACUCUGGGACCUAAACUAGUAGCUUUCCUGCUUCUCUAGAUUGUAGACAGUAUAUCAUGGGACUUCUCAGCUUCUAUAAUAAAGAACAGGAGCCAGUUCCUAUGGUAAAUUCCCUCAUGUAUCUAUAUCUGUAUCCCUAUCUGUCUGCUGUCUAUCUAUCUAUCCAAUCUCCUAUUACCUAAUCUCCUUCUACUUUCCUGGAGAACCCUAGUACAACUGCUAUAUUGAACUGCACUAUUUCUGUGUAUAUCUUUACUUCUCAUCAAGAUUCUCACAGUAGCUGGGUGUGGUGGUGCAUGCCUAUUAAUCCAGCGGCUGGGGAGGCUGAAGCGGGAGAAUCGCAAGUUCAAAGCCACCCUCAGUAAAAGCGAGGUGCUAAGCAACUCAGUGAGACCCUGUCUCUAAAUAAAACACAAAAUAGGGCUGGGGCUGAAGCUCAGUGGUUGAAUGCCCCUGGGUUUAUUCCCAGUACCAAAAAAAAAAAAAAAGAUUCUCACAAUAAAACCAUGCAUGUAUGGCCUUUUUACUUAUUUCCUCUAACAGUUGGCAAAAUGUUGGUGCUCAGCAAACAGUAGGAAAAUGCUUGUAACCUAGAAACUCCAGCACUACAUUCUGAGCUUCAAGAACUUUAUUAGCUCUUUUUACUUUUGCCUGAGUCUGAGAGAAUGCUGUUAGAAAGAGUCUAAUCUUGUCUACUAAUCAGUAUUCUUCUUUUAAGUAGAAUGAUUUAACACAAGAAAUAUUUCAGCUCCUAAUUUAUAUUAUAGAGCUUUAAAGUUUGCUACAUUUGCCCCACUUUAUUUAGUUUACAAUUGAAAUAUAGUGUAUGUUUUUUCAAAUAACUUUGAAUUUGCUCCUUGCUUCAAAUAAAAAAAAUAGAUUUUUUAACCUUACAGGUACUUUUCAAACUAUAAAGAUAUAUUCUAAAUUUCUUAGAUGCCAGUUUUUGGUUAAGAGAAAGAGUGAGCAGCUGUUCUGAAGGGGUGCCAGGCUUGGAUUCCUUGGUGAGCUUAUAGGGGUGGGAUCUCAUCCUGUUCCCCUACAUUUCUCCAUUGUCUAGAGACACAGGAGUGACCCAAUACAUGCUAUUAUCUUCCCCAACUCACAGAUAAGAAUAUAAUUUUUAAAAUGUUGGAAUUUGCAUAUUACACAGAUACUUAGUGGCAGAUCCAGCACUAAAAUGUUGGUUUGAAUCAGUGCUCACAGGAUUGUCGUUAGCUAUCAGUAUUUUGGAAUGCAUAAGCAACACAGGCUCUUCCUUUUGUGUUUUGUGAUUUUGUCUCAUAAUGCCAAGAGGGCAAAGGGGCAGGUUCUUGAGUUCCUGUCUGGUGGAGGCAGAAAAAUGUAGGAAUACAGAGCAGAGAGCAAGAGAAAGGAUUCUGACUCAGACCUGGUACUUGGAGAACACAAUAAUGACAGCUAUAGAGCCUAGUCUGAAAGUGGGAGGCUGAUACGGGCACUUUUUUUCCCCCACUAUGGUCAAAAUAGAUGCCAUGUAUCUUCCCCUCGGUUUUGUAGUUUAUAAGUAUUUGGGUGAAUCCUGAUAGAUGGUAGGAUAACAUCUGCACACAAAUUAGGCCUUUUAGUAGAAGCAGAAGUGAUUUUUUACUAUCCAGUCAGGAGUCAGGAAGGAAAGGGUGUUAAUUCUAGAAACUCUUAUUCCUAGGGUGGUCCAGGACUGGGCAAGAAGUUCUGCAAACUGGUUGUGAACUGACAGUAGGCAGGCUGAGGAGGAGGAAGAUUGUGUCUAGGUUGGGCUCUCUCCUCUCCCAGGAGUGGAGAAUAGGAAGAGCAGGAGGUUUCUGUCAGGGGGAUGGGUUCUGCCUGCCAUGUCCAGCUCCCACCCUUUUAGACCAGUGCCUCAACUUAGUCCUUUUGGAGAGACAAGAGGGAGACCAGGAGCUGAGUCCUAGCCUAACUGAUGCUCCUCCCAUAGUCUCAGCAAGCUGCCUGCCUCUCUUGCCUUCCAUUUGAUAAAAGGAAGUUGCUGAACUCAUGAUCUCUAAGACCUUUUGUCAAACCCUCUAUGAGUCUAUGAUGUCCUUCCCUAAGGUCUCUGAAAAUUGUCUGCUGAAGAGAAAGGAAUAGAUAAGGAUGGGUAAUUUUGGAGAAGCUGAGGUAGGAGGCCAAAGAAUGUGUUUUUGUGUAACUUUGGCAUUUGUUCAUUAUAGCGUGUUUUCUCUCAUAAUUUAUUUUUUAAAAAAUUUUUAUUAAUUAUAGAUGGACACAAUGCCUUUAUUUUACUUGUUUAUUUUUUACAUGAUACUGAGAAUCGAACCCAGUGCCUCACACAUGCUACGCAAGUGCUCGACCACUGAGCCACAACCUCAGCCCUUCUCUGAUAAUUUCUUUGGCAUCUCUUUCUUUAGAUCUAGUAUCAUUGGGGAAAGAAAUAUGGGAAAGAGAUCAGAAAACUGGGAAAUGGAGUCCUCUUUGUUGUUUUGUCACUAAUUAAAACCUGCCACCAGGUGACAUUUGGCUGUACUUGCAUAUCUGACUCAGAUCUCCAACGUACAAACCCUGUCCAGUUAAAGCUUCCCAAUCUGUCAUCCCCAUUUUAAGGGUGAAUGAUCUACAUUCUCAGACAGUUGAAAUUGUUUUGACCAAGCUUAUAAAUAGUGUCCACAGCUUUACUCAGAAACCACAACCAAACCAAAGCAACUCAGAAGGCAAACAUACUAGUGGAAAAAGUUAUGGUACCUUCCUUGAAUAGACUUUCUGAGACCUCUUUAGCUUAUAAAUAGUGACUAAUUUAACUCCAUAAAAAAUAAUUGACUCUGGGUCAGAUCAUUUGUGUCUGCUUGCGGGAAGACGAAUUGCAUAAUAGACCCAGCCAAAUAUUGUAGCCUAAAUAUUGGCCCUUUUAGAGCUGUUGAGCUGAAUUUUUCAGAACACAAUUCAUAACAUUCCUUCCCCUCCUGCUUCUCUCCUUGCGUACAACGUGCCUAUUUUUCUGUUUCUUAAGCUCCAGGCGGGAGCCCCCAGAGCGUCCUCACCCUCUUUGACAUAAGCAAUUUUCUGAUUUAUGGGAAUCAAGAAAGAUUAUUGUAGUUUAUCUGAACAAGGGUCCUCUCUGUGAAAAACCUCACGAAGACCACAAGCAUGGACACUUGUUGCCACCACCAGGACUUCCUGGCCUUUGAGAAGAGCCAUUUGGGUUGCAGGCAGCAGACCAGACACACCUUGAACUCUGUGGGCUUGCUUUUGCUAGGAAACUUUUAUGGAUUAGGGAGCCUUUCUAGGUCAUGUGUAAAGGUUCACUAUAAGCAUUUGCUUAGUCUGUGUAUGGUAAAUGGUUACAAGCCUCUCUGAGUGAGCACUAGGGACCUGAGCAAAGAAAGUUCGUGAGACCAGGCACAGAAUGAUGGCUAGCAGCCAUGGUUGCCGCCAACUCUACAACUUUCAGGGUCCAUCUGGAAUUGUCUGGCUCUCAAAGUAGUUUUUAUAACAGAGACCAGAGCUAGACCCAGUCUGAACCCUCAGUGUGACCAUGACUGGAGCCAUGGCAAAUAAAGACCCGGACAGAGACCUAACAAGUGUGUCUGAGCACAGAUGUGUUUCCUUGGAUGAUAUGUUUACUUCUCACUGGUGACUUCUGCUUUAUGGAGGGAGAUGGGGAGAAGGCAGCUUCCUCCCCCAGUCUUUCUUUGUUGUCUUGCCAUUUCCCUGCUGAGCCUGGAGAGUAGAGGAAAGGGAAGAAAGUCAUAUGGAGUAGGGGUUAAGAGCGCUCAUUUGGGAGCUUGGCAAGACACGCACUUUUAUUCCACAUCCACCAUGACUUAAUGAGCCUUUGUGGGUUAUCGGCAGUGAACACGAAGCUACAGCCUAGAGCCAAGUUGAACAGGAGACCCCCAUUAUUUUUCUGACUCAUCUAACAGAACUUUGGCAUUUCCAGGAGGCAGCCUGAGUGAGCGAGCUGAGGGUCCCAAGACAGGUGACAAGGCAGACAGGAGAAGGUGCUCAGAAAAGAAGGACUUUAGAACCACUAGGUUAAGCUUAAAAAUGAGAGGGUUCACAGGAUGUCUCUUGUUAUAGGUUUGAUUAUUUUCUCUUUCUCCAAGUUUCUUUUGCAUUGCCAUUUUCUUCACUCAUUCCCUCCCCACCUCAGAACUUCUGCACACAUCUUUUUGCUACACCUUAUUUAGUGAUGUCUGGGCUGGGGAUGGAUAGAAAGGAAGAAAAGCAGUGUCCAGAGUUGGCAAAAGUGGCACCAAAUGAGGGCAGCAGCUACAGGUAAGAACAUGGUAAGUGAAGCCAACCCCGAGCUGUCGUCAGCAGCCCACAGUAGAGUAUGUCCCGAGAACCACUACUAGUCCAGCUCCUGAGGUUGCUUUGCAGCCUUUUCAAACUCCAACCAUUUCCUACUCUGUGUCUGCAUUUUCUAAGACAAAGCACAAAAUGAAGCAAGAGAAAGAGGUUUGCAGCCAAAAUAAUAAUUUCUCUUAGAGAGAUAAGAAUGAUGCCUGGGAGCCUGGCCUCAUGGUCUGAACCAUCUCAGACCUCCAUGGAAUACCAACCUACUUCUUAGAGAGAAUACUGGUGCAAAGAAGGAAGGGCACGUGGGGUGGUUCUGUGAUCCCCAAAGAAUGUUAGAUGGAAGAAGGGCCAAGAUAUUCUAUUUGAAUAUUAAGGGCAUGGACUCAGAAGACUAGGAGCCUUGAAAGUUAUGCGGAUGGCAGACAUUUGAAUUGCAACAUUAGUGUAGAACCUGGAGAUUGGAUAUCUGGUUUCUACGACUGCACCACCCAGAGGCUGUACAAAGGGAUAAAAAACUUCCUUGAAUAUACUUAAUGCCUCCUUGGGCAAAACAGUCCCUGAGAUACACGUGGUCUUGUGGAGGUUCUCAGAGGCAGUCAUGUGUCAGAGUCACUUGCGAGCUAUCUCCACCUUCUUUGGCUCCCUCCAAUUAUUCACCACCACCAUCUCUCCCUCAAACCAGUGUGGUCAAACAUGGUUCGAGAACAUGGUAAGAGAAGCUGACCCUGAGUUGUCGUCAGGAGCCCACAGUAGAAUAUGUCCUGAGAACCACUACUAGUCCAGCUCCUGAGGUUGCUCUGCAGCAUUUUGAAACUCCAACAUUUCCUACUCAGUGUCUGUAUUUUCUAAGACAAAGCACAAAAUGAAUCAAGAGAAAAAGCUUUGCAGCCAAAAUAAUAACCUCUCUUAGAGAGAACUUGCCCCUGCCACCCUACCUAUAAAGUUCUGGACUUAUAAUAUGGGGACGCAGAAAAGUCCUGUACCUGGGACACUCCUUAUUGUACUGGAUGAAUACAUUGGGUAUUGUAGAGACUCACUUGCAAAACUGAUAAUAGGUUGCUUGGUUGAAACAGGUAGACUCCACACUGAUUCUUUGAUCUACUGGAUUUGAAUUGGUUUGGUUCAUGGGAACCUGGCUACAGUGCAGACUCCAAACUUUGGGUAUUAUCCUCCUGACAGUCCUAACAGCAGCCUCCCUGGUGUACUAUAUCCUCUCUAAAAGCUUUAAAUGUUUGCAUACAGUCAUCUGUUUAAUGUCAAAUGGCCUCUCAGGCUGGAACAACAACAACAAAAAACCUCAAGGAAAAGUGUGAUCAUGAGGACACUGUAAACUCUGAAUAUUGUGUUAAGCCCAGAAGCCCAGAAUGACAAUAGAGUAUAUUGCUGAUGCCGUAAAUUUUGUUCACACUCUUACCCAGGUAAGAGCACUGGGCCCCCAAAAGACAGGUUAAAAAUUAAAAUGGAGUCACUUGUGCUAGAUUUCCUCAUUGACAAACUGAAACUAAACUGUUUACCUCAUCUUUUGAGAAAUUAGGAUUAGAGAGAUAGGAUCCAAAGUUCGUUUCCCAACAGGCUAAUUUCAAUUGCAUGAUAAUGAAAUUCCCCCUGCCUGAACCUUAUGUAAAAGUCACCUGAAACAACCUAAUGCUAACUAAUGAGUUAUUUUCCUAUCGCACUGUCUCUACCUUACAAGGAAAGAAACUUUGAAAUGAUCAAUUCACUCUUGGCAUUUUUGUUUCUGCUCUCUGUAGCAUUUUUUUCUGUCUAUAAAACCAACCUCCGCGACUCAGCUCCCUGGAGCCGUUUUUCUAUUUCAUGGAUUCUAGAAUUGAAAAUAACACCAACUAAGAUCUGAGAGGAAGGAAGGAAGGAAGGAAGAAAAGUAAAGGGAGAAGAAAGGAAGGAAGGAAGGGAGAGAGGAAAGGAAAGAGACAAAUGCAGCACCUGGGACCCCCAGAACUGGACUCUCAGAUGCUAUUCACAGUGGUCUCUGGGAGGUAGGGUGAUUGGAAACUGCCAGGGCAAUGGACCUUCUGCACCUUGGUCUCUAAUCUGCAGCAGCAGAGAUUAGCAGCAGUGAGGGAGGCUGGGUGGUAGAACUUUCUUUCCUUUAGCUGUCACUGCAAGGCCCAGACCUGCAUCUAGAACUCCUGGUAAUUGCCCAGACAGGAGGACUGUGUGCAGUCACCUAGAGGGAAAGUCAAGGUCAGCAGGAACAACAGAGUUUGGUCUAGUCCUGAUGAUUAUUUCAUGGGACCCACUUCUAAGGAGCUCUAGGUUACUUGCUUCAGUUAAAAUGGACAAUGAGCCCAGAAGCUGUAGGCUCAUUUAAAACAUAGACAAACACUGGCAAAGGUCUAUGCCUCUUCAGUCCUCUGUCUUUUUUCUACAGAUCACAAAAGUGUCAUUCUCUAGAGAAAAAAGGCAGCUUCUCCACAGUGCUUAGUUUGCCUGAUCAAUAACCAAACUGGCAAUUUCCUAAACUUACUUGAAAAUUUGCUUUCUCUUUUCUGACUUUUCUUUAGGGAUGGUGCUACAAUAGAGCCACUGGAGACCCCGGCUCCUUUUAAAAGGCUCCAGGAAAUAUCCACACAUUUUCAUGUUUAAUAAUGACGUGACAGAAACUUAAAAGGGUCAGGUCACCUAGGAAAGCUCAAGAACCCAUGAGAGACAGCAUGAGCAGUGCUCUGGGCUCCAAUCACCCUGCUGAUGCAUGGAAAUGUGUUUGCAUAAAAUAUGACCCUAAGUGGGUCAUCAGCUGGGGUGUGGCAAUCUUUGUUGUAGGCAACACUUUUCUUUUUUUUCGGGUCAAGUUAGUAGUUAUGAUACCAAUUCCCUCCCUAAAGUGAAAUAAUCUUAACUUCUUUCACACUAUCUCAUCUGCAAACUCUGUAGUCUUUAUAUUCAAAACAGCCUCAGUCAUUGCAAUCCUUAGGAGGACUUACAAAAACCUUCCUGCUUUCAUUCUGCCUUUGUCCCUCCAGCUGAUUAUACAAUAGGAGACAAAAUAAACUUUGAAAAUCUAAAUCAGACCACAUCACUCUUCUGUUCAAUACCCUCUCACAGAAUAAAAUCCAAAGUCCUUAGCAGGAACCAUGAAGCCCAGAUAACUCUCUGGCCUCAUCUCCUCCCACUCUCUCAUCUUCCUUUUUCUUUCUAUUUUUUUUUUUUUUUUAGUGGUGUCGGGAUUGGACCCAGGGCCCCAUGUAUGCAGAGCAUGCUUGUACCCAUGGGUCACAUCUCCAGACCUGCUCUGUCACUCUGCACUGUCCUCACUGGUUUCCUUGCUAGUCCUUGAACAAAAACAUUUAGUACCCCCUGGGUCUUUGCACCUUUCCUGAUCUCACUGGAAUGCUCUCUCCUGAAGCUUGCUCCCUCAUCCCCUUGUAGUAUCUGAAGAAAUGUCAUCUUGUCAUCAAGGUCUUUGACACCCCCAAUUAUUCCCCACCCAUCCCCUCUGCUUUAGUUUUCUUUAUAUUAUUCAUCACCACCUGACACAUUGCAUAGGAUCUUGUUCGUUUGAUUAUUGUCAGCCUUUCUUUGUGCGCAGGGACUUUCUUUUGUUCAUUAGAGUAUCCCCAGUGUCUAAAGCAACUCCUGGCACAUAGCUGGAGCUCACUAAAUAUUUAUGGAGUGGAUAAAUGAAUUCCUGAGUCCAAAUGCUCUGUAUCAUCAGCUGGCAACCACAGCCAGAAAGGCUGCAGGUGAUGAAGGGGAUGUUAAUAAGAAGAAAAUGAUUGAGAUGGUUGAGAGUUUUUGGAGAAUAAGAAAAUGUGGGAGAAACGUUAUUUAAAAAUUAAGAAAAAAUAAAACAAGCAGAAAGUGAUCCUGGAGAGAACUCCCCUCUUGGCUGAACCGAAGCCAGGCUAGAUUUGUUCUCUUCGGUUGCUGAAAUCUGGUUCUUGUCACAAACCAACCUAGACAUCUAUUUUGAUACACAUAUUAUAUGUCUCUUGGCAUGCAGAGCACUCAUAUCAUUUACCAGAUUUAUUGAAAUUAUGGCGAGGGGUGUGAAAUGCCUCCUGCCAUAUGGGAAAGGAGGUGAAAAGGCUGACAUUUGGCUUUUCGCCAAUUUCACAAAAGUUUAGAGUUUCAGACUCUUUUCUCCUCCUGGGUGGGGAGGCUCUCCGUUAUCAAACUCCUAUUCUCUGAGUGGCCAUAAAGACAUGUCUGUGCAUCUGGUGGUAUUUUAAUAUUCAAAGAAUCAUAUUCGGAGGUGUAUAAAAAUCAACAUGUUGGCCCAGCUGUUACAAGAAGAAUUGAAAGAGAUUUCUUUGCCUUGUUAAUUAUCUGUCCCAUAUUUCACUUUAUUUAGCUUUGGUAGGCUAGGAAUAUACUUGGGGAAAACUGAUCCAUUUGAUAAACAAACCACCAACCCACCAUGAACCAACCACAAACCCAGCCUGGGCAGGAUUGUUAUGGCAGUCUCUAGCAUUACCACUCACCUGGCGUGUGAUCUCUCAAUAGCUCAGGUAAUCUCUUUAAGCCUCACCACCCACUCUGCUACCCUGCUGUUCCUGUUACCAUCAUCUCUUGCCUGAACCAUGGCAGGAGCCUCCUAAUAGGUCUCCUGGUUCUACUUCCUCAACUCUAAGUAGAAUCAGAAUAGUACCUUCAGCAUGGGGAUUGUGUGGAUUCCAUGAGAUAGUCUAUUAACAUGUGUUAGCAUGGUGGUAGCACAGAAAUUCUCUGUAAAAUCACACUGGAGAUUAUCAUCAGCUUUUAUUAUGAUUAUAGCUCAUGGUCCAGUGGGUCUCUUUUAUUGGGAGUUGGAAGAUUUUUUUCCCAUUGGAUGUACUUCUUUUCUAGAUUCAAUUUUUUAUUUAAGUGAGUCAUUUUGGCUAGGGAACUAGUCAUUUCAAACUGCAUAUUAUGCACGGUUUUAGAUGGGGCUUGUACCUAAUGCCUGUCUGGUAGUGAUUUGUGGAAAUACAGUCUAAUGUCAUGCAAUUGUCCUGUAACACACAAAUACGACUUUUAGUAUUGCUGAAUCUAAAACAUCUUUAUUUCCCAAUUAUUUUUCAAAUUUGGUCAUGAUGUCAGAUUAACAGAAAUAAGCAACUCCUCUUUCACCAUAUACGUAGCUCACCUUCAGCUCUCAAACACCUAUUCAUGAAGUAGACUGGUCCUAGCCCUCAGACCCUCAGAGGCUUUACAUUAAAAUAGAGAUGACAGCCAAUAAAUGUGUAUGUGUGUGUGUGAGAUUAAUUCUAUGAAGGGAAAGAAUUUAGUCAACCAGCUUUAUCGUUCAAGAGGACUCAGCAUACUUCAUUUAUGUUAACCUGUCAUACUGCUAACCUGCUCUUCCGGUCACCCUCAUGUCUCACCUGAACCAUUGCAAAGGCCUCCUGACAGGCCUCCUGGUCUCUACUUCCUCAACUGCAAGUGGGGUCAGUUGAGGAAGUAGGUAGUACCUUCAGCAUGGCACUAUUGAACCAUUUUCCAAAAGCUCACCACUUGAAUUUCCAUAAUACCAGGUAAAGUUUUAGGUCAUUUUUUGGGAGAUGACCACCUUGAAAUAUUCACUCUGAUUUCCUAUAUAUGAAAAAGCUCACAGGACAAGAGCUGUUGAAAACUCAACCACAAUCCCCAGCCUUCCAAAUGAAGUAGGAAAGGAAUACAUCUGUUCUCUCCUAAAAAAAUAAAAAAAAAUUUAUUGAGCCCCUGUGAUGUACAAAGCCUCCAUGGUUUUGCUCCACAUGGGGAGCAUCCACGAAAAUAAGGCUUGUGUUCCUGAGGGGCCCGAGUGUCACCCCAUUACUGACAGGUUUUCCAAAUGGGAACUGCACACAUGGUUUUUAUUCCUUUGCUUAUCGAUCCUCGCGUGGUGUUUACAUUUGUUUACUAUCUGGCAGAUACUCCCAGCUUUCUUCUGUUUGUAGUGCUAACUGUGUACAGAAGGGAAAUAUCCUUGUUGGCAUAUAACAAAGGUCUGUAAUUUUUCCAGAAAAGAAUUUUGUUAAUUUUCGAAUAAAUGUUACAGGUAAUUAAGACCAUAUACUCUUCACUAAACGAAAUUGACUGGAGUUUGCAGAAGGUAAUUCUUGAUGAAGAAUCAAGUAGUUUUGCCUCCAUUGUACAAACCAUAUCAAUGAGUAAUAAGGUUUUCCAUGUAUGGGUUGCUGAUUUUAGGUUCAAAUAUUCUUCUUAACUACUUUUCUUUUAAUAAAAUGAUAUUAGCAGUGUAUUUCAUAUUUCUUGCCAUCGUAACUCUAGAGACUGAACCUAUUUCAUCCUUCUUGGUGACUCAGUGUCAUUGCCGUGAGCAUGAAUAAUUUUACUGUGCUACAAAUAAGCAGUGAGCUCAGGGCUUGUUGAGUUAUGAGCUGCACUGGGAAAAUUCCUCCAUAAAUGGUCUUGGGAUCUUAGAUUUAUUGAGCCUUUACAAUUUUUCUAACUCUUCCUCAAAUAUCAGGCUUUGUUUGUAUUUAAAAACCUUCCCCCACCCUUAGCCUUUUGUUCAGGGACCCGUUUUGGAGCAUUCACUCUAUGCAGGGCUUGUUUCUAUGUGCAGAGUUCACAGUUCAAUCAGGAUAUCAGUAGUGAGGUUCAAUCCACAAGGGGCACACUUGUGAGGGAGGGAGGCAAACAAUAAGAUGGUCACAAUUAACAUGAUAACUUUCAUUUGCUUUUGUGUGGAGAAUGGUAAUCAUACCUAGCAGCCUUCUGGAUAAAGGAACAUUGAAAGCUCAUGGUUCAUUUCUAUUUAUUUCUGAGUAAUUCCUGAGCGGUGGGAUUCUUGGCUUCAAGACAUUCUGGAAAUGUAGAGCUUCGAUAUUCCCACAUAAUACUGACUAUAAUAUAGAAAAUGACUCAGUGUCUCUAUAACCAAGUAGGCCUUUGCCUGCAACUUAAACUUGAGGACAGCAUGACAUGUGCAAAUCCAAGUGAUUUCAUAUUCACAUCUCUGAUCUUGCAUUUGCCUUUGUCUUCAGAUUUGUGUGUCUAACUGCCAAUCAACCUCUCUGCAUGGAUGUCUCAGGGAGUCUGAAAAGCAACUUUUUAAAAAAAUACAAUACAUAUAUUUUAUUAAAUCUGUUUUUUUAGUUUUAUUAAUUUUAUUUUUUAAAAUACACAACAGUAGAAUGCAUUAGAUUCUUAUUACACAUAUAGAGUACAAUUUUUUCAUAUCUUUGUAUAUAGAGUAUGUUCAUGUCAAUUCAUGCCUUUAUACAUGUACUUUUUUGCAUCACAAUUCUUAUUAUACAUGUAUACCACAAUUUUUCAUAUCUGUUUAUAUAUAAAGACUUAAAUAUAGUUUUCACACAUGUACUUUGGAUAAUGAUGUCCAUCACAUUUCACUGCCCUUGCUAAUCCCCUGCCCCCUCCUUUUCCCUCCCACCCCUCUGUCCUAUCUAGAAUUCAUCUAUUCCUCCCAUGCUCCCUCUCUCUACCCCACUAUGAGUCAGCCUUCUUAUAUCAGAGAAAACAUUCGGCAUUUAUUUUGGGGGGAUUGGCUAACUUCGCUUAGCAUUAUCUUCUCGAAUGCCACUCAUUUACCUGCAAAUGCCAUGAUUUUAUACUUUUUUAUUGCUGAGUAAAAUUCCAUUGCUGAGUAAAAUUCCAUUGUGUAUAUAUGUCACAUUUUUUUUUUAUCCAUUCAUCUACUGAAGGACAUCUAGGUUGGCUCCACAGUUUAGCUAUUAUGAAUUGUGCUGCUAUAAACAUUGAUAUGGCUGUGUUCCUGUAGUAUGCUGUUUUUAAGUCCUUUGGGUAUAGUCCGAGGAGAGCGAUAUCUGGGUCAAACGGUGGUCCCAUUCCCAGAUUUCCCAGGAAUCUCCAUACUGCUUUCCAUAUUGGCUGUAUCAAUUUGCAGUCCCACCAGCAAUGUGUGAGUGUAACUUUUUCCCCACACCCUCUUCAACACUUAUUGUUGUUUGUCUUCAUAAUAGCUGCCAUUCUGACUGGAGUGAGAUGAUAUCUUAGAGUAGUUUUGAUUUGCAUUUCUCUGAUUGCUAGAAAUGAUGAGCAUUUUUUUCACAUAUUUAUUGAUUGAUUGUAUAUCCUCUUCUGAGAAGUGUCUGUUCAGGUCCUUAGUCCAUUUGUUGAUUGGUUUUUUUUUUUACUUAGUUUUUUGAGUUCUUUAUAUAUCCUAGAGAUUAGUGCUCUAUAUGAUGUGUGAGGGGUAAAAAUUUGCUCCCAGGAUGUAGGCUUUCUGUUCACCUCACAGAUUGUUUCUUUUGCUAAGAAGAAAGUUUUUAGUUUGAUUCCAUCCCAUUUAUUGAUUCUUGGUUUUAAUUCUUGCACUAUAGGAGUCUUGGGGCCUAAUCCCACAUGAGGAAGAUUAGGGCCUACCUUUUCUUCUAUUAGAUGCAGAGUCUCUGUUUAAUUCCUAGGUCCUUGAUCCAUUUUGAGUUAAGUUUUGUGCAUGGUGAGAGAUACGGGUUUAAUUUCAUUUUGUUGCAUAUGGAUUUCCAGUUUUCCCAGCACCAUUUGUUGAAGAUGCUAUCUUUUCUCCAGUGCAUGUUUUUGGCACCUUUGUCUAAUAUAAGAUUAUUGUAAUUUUGUGGGUUAGUCUCUUGUGUCGUCUAUUCUGUACUAUUGGUCUAUCAGUCUGUUUUGGUGCCAAUACCAUACUGUUUUUGUUAUUGUUGCUCUGUAGUAUAAUUUAAGGUCUGGUAUAGUGAUGCCACCUGCUUCACUCUUCCUGCUAAGGAUUGUGAAAAGCAAUUUUGACUCUAUUCCUCACCAUUGCUUUCACCUUCCCAAUCUUGGCACUAUACUCUUCCCCAAAUCAAAAAAUUAUUCUCAAGUUUUUUGUUUUUCUCAGCCUCUGAUCUCUCAGCCCUAUCCCACAUAAUCUAAUCCUAUGAGUUUUUUCUUUCUUUCCAAAAAGCAUAUCCUAAGUCUGAAUCAGGUCAUGAUUCUCCUAUACUUGUUUUGCUCAUAGAGAAAAGAUCCCAACCUCCAACAGUAGACUCAAGACCUGAUAUGAUUUUCUUCUGUUUAUAUUUUUAUUUCUUCUCUCUAUGUGGUGCCCCUCUCCUGCUGUAUUCCGAUUACCACCUUCCUUCUUCACCCUCUUGGGUCAAUAUUUCUGGUCAAAUGACUGACCCUCAUUGAGGUACCAUUGAGGUCUUGGCUCUAGUAUCAUUUCCUGCCCUUCUGGAGGCCUCUGUGCCUGCCCCACUUACACUUUACUCCAGAUCCUGACCCAGCCGAUAUAGUGGGUCCUGAAACUCCCAGUGAACACCUGUAUUGCUAUUAUUCAGAUCACUGUGAAUCCUAGUAUGCAGCCAAUAAAUAUUUGUUGUUCUAAUAUGUUUUUGCUGUUUUCAGUCCUCAAGUGUGAAAGAGCAAAGUUUGAAAGAGCAAAGUUUACAGCUUUGGGUGAGAACAAGCCAGUUGGAAUUGGAAUGUAUUUCUGAUUCAAGUAUUAAGGCUUAAGGAAGC
rnacentral:lncRNA from 1 species